AAGGUAAUUCCGUUGAAUAUCUUGAACUUAUAUUUUUGUUCCUGAGAUGUGUGUGGAUCCAUUUAGUAGGUGUUUUUUUGUCAAUGUUGAAUUGGGUUGAUGUAUGCCAAGUAUUAUUUACUGCAGAAUAAGAAAAAGUAAUGAGAAAAACUGAAAAGGUAAAAGUAAUUGACAAUGCUUGUUUGUUUUUGUCUCUGAUGUUUACUUUUCUGUGCCCUUCCUGGUCCUAUGUUAAUUUUAGGUACUUUGAGUGAAGGUGGUGUUUUGUAUUUUAAUAAUUUCUUUGAUAUAAGUUAUCUGGUAUAUUGUUUAAAAUAUUGCAGCAUGUGCAAUAAUCAUUUCUAAAACUAGGAAACAACUUAUGGUGAUUUAGAACCUAACUAGAGAAGUAGAAGUUGAAUAAAGAAUCGUUUUUUUGAUGUUAUUUGGAUAAUUACCUUAAGAUUCAAAUCAAAUGUCAAAAUGUGAAAGUGUACGUUUAUGUGUGAGGGGAUUAGACACUAGCUACGUACAAGGCAUUGUGAAGUAUACUAUCUGUGUGCAUAUGAGUAAAAAUAUAUGACAAAAGUUGGUUGGUUUUGUCAUAUUGCCAUGAAAUGAAGAACUCAUGUGCACUUCUUCUAAAGUAUGCUAUUUGUGCCCAUACAAGCAAUGAUAUGACAAAAAUUGAUUAGUAUCAUUGUAUUGUCAUUAAACGUGUAGCGUUCAUUGCCAUAAAAAUGAUGCUCAUGAAGUGUAUCAUUGUAUGCAUAUUGAAAAUCAGCAUAUUCCUUCUCCGAGUUUAUUAAAUGAAUUUAGUUUUGGUUAUUCUAUAUUGAUAUUAUAGCUAAGGACAUUGUUACUAAAUAAUGAAGUUAGAAAGCUAUAGAGAUGGAGAAUGUUCCAAGUGAAGCUAUCAAAUCAUGGUUAUGGACCCUUGCUUAUGGGAUGUUUUAUGACAGUUGCAAGGCUCUCUAGAGUAUCAUACUAACAUUAUUUGCCUAUUACUUUUUAAGUCCUGUAUUUUUAUUUAUUUUUUAAUAUUAUAUUUAGUUUUUGGGUGGGGGGAGUCACAGUACUUUCUUGAACUUCUUAUCAUGAAUGAGUAUGUUAUUUGGUAGUUAUCCUUCUAUGUUAAGUGUGUUGUCUUCUGUUUUAAUGCCUUUUUAUUUUGGUCGACUAUAGAAAUUUUUUUUUCCUUUUAUGACCUGGAUUCCUUUUUACUUUUCCUAAAUGAUGAAUAAUUACAAUAAGCUAUGGAUGACAAUCCAGAUGAAGCUUUUUGUCAUAGUUACUCUGAUAGGAAAAUGCCAAGUUCUACUCCACUCAGCAAGACCAUAUGCCAACUACUUGGGAUUGACUAAAUGAAUCCCCUUUUUGGUUUUUCUGCUGUCUAAAGCAAUAUGGUCGCAUGAUGAGAGUAAAUCAUUGCCAUUUUCAGAUUGAAGUAAUAUUGGUGGUCAGCAACAAAAACCUUGAAAUAUAGAUUCUGGUUUGAUUGCUUUUUGUAGUGCCUAUCUCAAUUUUUUUUUUUCAAUGGGGGCAAUGGAAGUGUUUCCCAUAUGACAUCAUAUUUGAGUUGUGUAUCUUGCAUAAGAACUUGAAGGCAACUGUGCUGAGGUGUGAAUUACUUGUUGAUUUCCUCUUUUCCCUAUUGCUUACAUUGUGCUUGACCAUGUAUGGGGUCAUUCAGGUUGAUCUAUUUCAUAUGGUUCUAAUCUGUUGCCUCAUAUAGGUCAAAUGUCUUGAUUUAUGCUGUUAGAAUCUUUCACAGUGGAUGCAUUUUGUUGUUUUUAGUGGACAUAAAAUCUUUGAGUUGUGUAUCUUGCUUAAAAGUUUAUGGCAACUUUGCCGAGGUGAUCAAUCGACUGUUGAUUACCUCUUUUCCCUGUUGCCUAUAUUAUGUUUGGCCAUACUUGGUUUCACUUGGGUUGAUCUAUUCCAUGUGGUUAUUACCUGCUGUCCCAUAUAGGUCGAACAUCUUUUUCAUAAACAGUACAUUGUUGAAGUGAUUCAUUUUGAAGUCAUUGAUGUGAAAUGGUAUCUCAGAAUCUUGUAUCUUGAAUAAGAACUUGAAGGCAACUUUGCCAAGGUGAUUAGUUGCUUGUUGAUUUCCUCUUUUCCCUGUUGCCUAUAUUCUCUUUUCGCCACACAUGGUUUCAUUUUGGAAGGCAACUUUGCCGAGGUGAUUAAUUGAUUCUUGAUUACCUCUUUUCCCUGUUGCCUAUAUUAUGUUUGGCCAUACUUGGUUUCACUUGGGUUGAUCUAUUCCAUGUGGUUAUUGCCUGCUGUCCCAUAUAGGCCGAACAUCUUUUUCAUAAACAGUACAUUGUUGAAGUGAUUCAUUUUGAAGUCAUUGAUGUGAAAUGGUAUCUCAGAAUCUUGUAUCUUGAAUAAGAACUUGAAGGCAACUUUGCCAAGGUGAUUAGUUGCUUGUUGAUUUCCUCUUUUCCCUGUUGCCUAUAUUCUCUUUUCGCCACACAUGAUUUCAUUUUGGAAGGCAACUUUGCCGAGGUGAUUAAUUGAUUCUUGAUUACCUCUUUUCCCUGUUGCCUAUAUUAUGUUUGGCCAUACUUGGUUUCACUUGGGUUGAUCUAUUCCAUGUGGUUAUUACCUGCUGUCCCAUAUAGGCCGAACACCUUUUUCAUAAACAGUACAUUGUUGAAGUGAUUCAUUUUGAAGUCAUUGAUGUGAAAUGGUAUCUCAGAAUUUUGUAUCUUGAAUAAGAACUUGAAGGCAACUUUGCCAAGGUGAUUAGUUGCUUGUUGAUUUCCUCUUUUCCCUGUUGCCUAUAUUCUCUUUUCGCCACACAUGGUUUCAUUUUGGAAGGCAACUUUGCCGAGGUGAUUAAUUGAUUCUUGAUUACCUCUUUUCCCUGUUGCCUAUAUUAUGUUUGGCCAUGCUUGGGUUCAUUGGGGUUGAUCUAUUCCCUGUGGUUAUUACCUGCUGUCCCAUAUAAGCCGAACAUCUUUUUCAAAAACAGUACGUUGUUGAAGUGAUUCAAUUUGAAGUCAUCAGUGUGAAAUAGUGUCUUUGAAUCUUGUAUCUUGCAUGACAACUUGAAGGCAACUUUGCCGAGGUGAUUAGUUUCUUGUUGAUUUCCUCUUUUCCCUGUUGCCUAUAUUCUCUUUUGGCCAUACAUGGUUUCAUUUUGGUCAAUCUAUCUCCUUGGUUGUUACCUUCAACUUUUAUAGGCCAAACAUAUUUUUUGUUAUUCAGAGAUGGCUGAAUGAGGUUGUUGGAGCCUUGCUCCACAUUAAUUUGGAAAUGCCACUACAUAAAGCUUUUUUCAUGGUGCUUGUUCCUUUCUUAAAAAUAUUUUACCAUUUAAGUCUAUUCUAAAUUAAUGAGUUGCUUUCCUGAUUUGAGGCAGUUUUAUGCCUGCUUUAGGUUAUUCUUUGAAUUUUGCAAGUUCAUGUAACUUUGGUUUGAGAUUGUUUGUUUGGUAUCAUGAUCUCUACAUGAUGAUAGCUGUUAUUGGCUAUGGAUUUCAUCCAAUGAGGCCUUUUGUAGUCAUAGUUACACUGAUAGAGUUUCAUGUCUGUUUCUUUCCUUCUUUCUGUUGGCUUCCUCCCUCUUCUCUUUCUUCCUCCUUUUGGAAAAAAAUUCUACUUCCAACUGCAUGUGAAUUUGUGGUGUCUGGUAAGAGCACUGAUAUGAUACUGUCCUUGUUGAUUUCUUUAUAUUUCCCGAGUUUUUGAAUUUCAUUAUGAAGUUUUUUUAUUUGGUGAACAUGAUCUAUAUGUGAUGAAAAAUGGCAUGGGCUAUGGAUUAAUCUCCAAUGAAGCCUUAAGAAGUCAUAGUUACACUGAUAGAGGAUCAUUUAUUUUUUAUUUUUAUCAAGUUCUUGUUUUUCUAUGCGUAUGGAUUCUUCGAGUUCUGUGGGUUUAGAUUCAGUAAUGCAAUGAUGGACAAUUAAUCGGCCCUGAAUUGUGGUAUGUAGUAUGUACUUAUCUCCCUUGCAUAUAGAAGUGAUUGAAUUUCCAAAAAGAUUUAAUGUUGAGUGAAGUCGGUAUUCCCAUGGACUUUGGGCCCCACCCAAAAAAAAAAAUACAUAAAAAUAAGAAAUAGUGCUCUAAAAGAUGAUACUUCUCAGAGGAUACAGAGCAAUAUCCAGGUGAGGGUUUUAUGAUACACUGACAACAUGAAUUUGGAGCAAGGUGCAUAAAUAAUUACUGGAAACAGAUUGUUCUUUUCAGUCUUGUUGUACUCUCCACACUGAAUGCUGUACAAUAUCUGCAUAUUCCUCGUUGCCUAAACCUUCACAUAUAUCUCUUAGUUAGGAGCUUAUCCUACUUGUAUGUUUCAUGAAUGGUGAUUAAAUCAACUUUCCAAUGAACUGCAUAAAUCAUGAUUUUGUUACGUAGUAUGUCAUAAUCAAUAUUUUCCAUGUUCUGGUUGAAUUGGAUAAAAAAAAACCAUUAUUCAGUUGUUAUAUACCUUUAAUAAUAUAUAUAUAUAUAUAUAAAUAUUCCUUUUUAUUUUCCAUGUUCUCUUUUUUAUGUUAUUGUGGUUAAUCUUUAUUAUUAUUGUUGGUGUUGUUUUUAUGUGCCCUGUUCAUUUGAUUGGUAAAAAGCUGAGUUGCAGUCUCUCUUUAUAAUGGCAGAAUAAGGAUGUAACAGAAGCAAUUCAGAAGGUUGCUGCUGCCUAUGACUGCAAAAUUGUCGAAGGUGUACUCAGCCACCAGCUAAAGCAGUUUGUGAUAGAUGGGAACAAAGUUGUACUGAGUGUUCCCAGUCCAGAGACCAGAGUUGAGGAUGCAGAGUUUGAGGAGAAUGAAGUUUAUGCAGUAGAUAUAGUCACAAGCACAGGUGAUGGGAAGGUAAUUAUGGGUCUGAUUUUAACCCAAAUAUUAUUCUUAUUGACCACAUCUUACUUUUUGUGCUCAUAAUUUCUGGAAUCAAAUUGCAGCCAAGGCUACUUGAUGAGAAGCAGACAACUAUUUACAAAAGAGCAGUCGACAAGAGCUAUCAUUUGAAGAUGAAAGCUUCUAGAUUCAUUUUCAGUGAGAUUAGCCAAAAGUUUCCCAUCAUGCCAUUUUCAGCAAGGUUUAUUUCUUUCAGAAUAUUGGUUCUCUUGGUGAUCUUUUGCCUUGCCCUGUAGUAACACUUGUGGGGUUUCCUUCAUGAUAGGGCUUUGGAAGAGAAGCGGGCUCGACUGGGUCUAGUGGAAUGUGUGAAUCAUGAUCUUUUACAACCAUACCCUGUUCUUCAUGAAAAGCCUGGUAAGAAACCCUCUUAACAAGCUUUGUUCUUUUGGGAGAACCUCAAUGGGAUCCACAUCUAGUGCACACAAUUAUCUUUUUGGAUAUUCUCUAUAUCUGUAAUUUUAAAGCUGAAACUUGGGUUGGCUAUGCAGGUGACUAUGUUGCUCACAUCAAAUUCACUGUCCUGCUAAUGCCAAAUGGAUCAGAUCGGAUUACAUCUCAUUCACUGCAGGAACUGCAGCCUACAAAGACGACAGAUGACCCAGAAAUCAAGGCCUGGUUAGCCUUGGGCACGAAGACAAAGAAGAAAGGUGGUGGGAAGAAGAAGAAAGGUAAAUUGUAAAAAAUGAGCCAAAAAAAGAAAGAGAACAUCUGUUCUUUGUAGAUCAAGAAAUUCAUCAAGCAACACUUGAUCUACCUUGAAUAUUCCAUCUCUGCCCCUAUUAGUUACUCUGAAGUAUUGUAACCUUAAUUCUCAUGUAUAUUGCAGGUAAGAAGGGGGAUAAACCUGAAGAGUCAGCAGAAGCUGAACCUAUGGAUGCAACAACUAAUGGGGCAUCUCAAGAAUGAGAGGAUGUUCCUUUUUGUGCUUUUUUUUUUUUUUUUUAAAUGUCAAUUUUGGUACUUCACUCCUUUGUAUCUGGUUGAUUAAGAGUUGAUUUGGAUAGUGUUAGAAAGAUGAUCCUAAUCGCGGUUUCCUGCCUAUGCAGCUGAUGCAUGCAUCCAGAGUUACCCUUGUAUCUCUUUUUUUUCUUCAAUCAUUUUUAUGACAAUUGAAAAGCAGGAAUUUAGGUUCAAUAAACAUGCUGGCACAAUGGAUGAGACUGGGAGGUCUGAUAUUAUAUUGAAUUUGAGAAUAGGUUUCAUUUCCUGUUUUACCAAAAACCCACACUAUAGGAGAUGAUCAAAAAGUGGUUUCAUUGUCAUUCCCCUUCCCAUUAGUUCUUUUGCCACCAGUGUUGCCUUUUAGUGGGUUAAUUUGAUGGUAAAAUGAUAUAUCUAAACCUUAGUUUUAAAAGCUAAACUGGACUGGUUGGUCAUAGUUUUGGUUUGGUCUGGUUAGUUGAGUUGGCCAAGGGUUGGAUCGGCAUCAGACUUGGACUGGGCGAACCAGCGGUCGAACUGUCGAAUUGGAUGAACCGGUUGGCUCUCUCCAAAUUGAUUGGUUCAACUUUUUCAAUUUUUUAACCCCUAUCAAAACGACAUCGUUUUGAUGCCAGUAUAAAAGCCUUCCUCCCCCGAGCUGCCCAUCUCCAAUGCCCACUACUGCCCACGGUGCCGCUACUGGUUGCCGUCGUUGACAAGGAGGUGAAAUCCAUUUUUGUGAGUUUAUUAUUUAGUUUAGAGUUUUAGAAUUUAGAAUUUUUAUAUAUAUUUAUUUUAUUUUCAUAUUUUAUUAUUUUAAUUUCCAUAUUCCAUAUUUUAUUUUCAUUUCCAUAUUGUAUUAUUUUAUUUUCAUUUUCAUAGUCCAUAUUCUAUAUUUUAUUUUCAUUUCCACAUACAAAGAAGCAAAUAUUAAUACUUUUUAUUUUAUCGGUAACAUAUUUUAUAGGUCUCCCUCCAUGGUUCCUCUAUGGGUACACUAGGUAUUUCUGCAAUUUUAGGUAACCUUUUUGGUUCAAUGAUCGAUCCGAUUAUGAAAAUAUUGAUCUAAAUUAUCUAAAAUUGAAGAAAUACCUACUGUACCCAUAGGGGAACCAUGAAGGGAGACAUCUAAAAUAUUUCCUGAAUUCUUUGCCCUGAAAAAUUUGAAGUAGGAAUUAGGAAUUGAGAUAUUAUUGGACCCUAAAUUUAAUGUAUUCUGAUAACGUUUUAAUGUAUUCUCUAAUCUAAUUAAUAUGACAAGAUAUUAAAUAACUUUAUAAUAUGAUUGGUUUGCUUAUAUAAAAUGAUAUAAGAUAUGAUUAACAUGAUGAAAUGCUAUAUAACUCUAAUAUGAUUGGUUUAUUAGAUGUAAAAUGAGAUAAGGUGAUUUAUUAUAUGUAAAAUGAAAUGAGGGAUGGUAUCAUAUGUUAUCCAAGCAAUAUGAUAGCUGAAAGUGAGUUAGUUAUUCCAUCAUCAAACAAAUUAGCAUGUCGAUUUUUAUCUUAUUUUUCCUUUACAAUAAUUGGAAGUCCCUAAUGUUUGUAAGCACCUCUUAUGGGCCGAUGAGGAGGGUGGGUUUUGAUUAUCCCACAUCCUUUGGGGAAAGUGGACAUUCAUUCUCUUCAUUUUUUUGGUCAAAAGAAUUCUAGUGAUAUUUUAUGGAUUUCUUAUAGAUAUAAAAAAAUUCUCUCCAAGAAUGACAUGUGAAUGUGUCGACUUUGGUUUCUUCAUCGUCUUCAAAGGAUAUUUCCAUCCGUCACUAAGGUAAAAAGGAUACAAUAACAAGAUUAAGUUGCAUCAUUCUCAUUUUUAGGCUAGCCUUCAUUUACCAUUCUUUCCUUCAUUUCUUUCAACUUCACCGUUGCCAAAUCCAUCCUAAUGUUAUCCGACUUUUUCAUCAUUCCCUAGUUAUUAACCACAUAACCUAGACCUCGGCUUGGGCGACAAUUUAUUCCUUUACAUCUUAAAGAAGAUGAAGAAAGAGAGUAUGUACUUUCUUUCUCUAUUAGAGAUGUCAAGCUUACUAAUCCUUGACCUUCUUAAUUGCAACAAGGGUUGGAAAAACAAAUAAGUGAAGGUCACUAAUGAUUGGAAAUUUGAUGCCAAGGAUAAUGCCCUUAUGUAGUUUAAUUUUGUAGUCUUAGUUUCCACUAUUAUCCAUCUUCUCUGUGUUGCAAAGUUAAAGGGUAGAUUUUGUUACAUGCUUUCAAGUCAAGUUCUCGAACAAAACUUUGACAUGUCAGACACAUAAUAUUAAUAUAAAACUUGGUUCUAAGUGGAGUGUUGGUAUCUUAAUUCUCGUUAUUGGGGAAUAGCUCACUCUCAUAGUCAUGGCUUUAAAAUAACUCUCAUUUAGGUGAGUCCUUUAAGAGUACAUGUGACAUAUACAUCCUUGCAACACUUUCUGCCUUGGGCUUAUUUUAGGCAAAUCUCUGCCUAACAUCAUAUUGGUAACACUAUCAUCUAGGGAUGAGAAAGAAACUUCUCUCCUCAAAGUCAAUGCUAUUUACAAGUCAUGUAGUUUAGAUUAUUUCAAUCCAUUGAACCUUCUUAAUGGAAUCUUCAAUCACAACAAUUAGGUUACCUCUAAAGGUGACUCCCUUGUGGGCUUAACCCAUCUCUUUUAAUGAAUAUGGAUUUAGCUUACUUGUUAGCCUUAAGGCAACCAAUUAUUGAUAGAGUGAUUCUUUUCUCAUUUGCAUCCUAUUAUGUCAAUUAAACGAUAUAAAAAAAUGUCUUCCAUUUUCCCUACCUUAUUAUAGUAUACAAUUUCCUACCCAUUCAAUUAGUAGGACAUCACAAAUAAAAAUUGUCACACAUUAUCUAGUGUUAUCUGAUUUCUAUAAAUAGAUUAGUCUUACGACAAUACAUAUCUUCUAUUGUAUUUUCAUUGAAAAAUGAAAUUACCAUGUUUGAGAUAUUUUUUAUUGAUAAUUUUUUUUAAAUGAUCUUGUCAAUUAUCUAGUUUUUUUAAACUUCUCAAUCAACUCGUCAAUCUCUUUAGAGCUCACUUAAGCUCAAAAUCAAGCAAUCAAAUUCAAAAAAGCAAACCAAGUAAACUAAGCCUAAUGAAGUGUCAAGUGAAACCUACCUUAAAAGGUGUCUAAGUAACCUAAGCCUGUAAAAGCCAUCUAAGUGACCUAAGCAUAAAAGUCAACUCAAGAGGGUUUAGAUAAAUCCUUUAACAAAGGAUCCUUGAAGAUGACUUAGAAAGAGCAGGUCAUAUGAGUGUCAAUGGGUCACCAAGAGAUGACUAUGAGUCAAAAUAGAAGCAUAGGAAAACACCUAGUAUUGCCCUAACUUCAUCCCUCAUUUGAGGCUAAUAAUAUGUUGACUCUAGUAGUGCCCUCGUGUGUCAUUGCCCAAGGUGCUCAACCCACUUAGUGUCGUGACACUUCUUGAUCAAGUUCUUUAUCAUGUUGCCUCACUUAGGCAUGUAGAUUUGUUUUCCUUAGUGUAGAGUAGGUCGUCCUCCACCUAGAAUUGCUUAGUCUUCCCCUUGUGGGCUAAGGUGAUGAGACUCUUAGCCAACGGAUCAUACUGUAGCCCUUCAUUAAGAAGAUCACCAAGUCUCCUUGGGGUUGGCUAGUCAUGAAAUCUCUUUCUUGUGGUUUAGGGCAUCAAUCACAUGAUUAGCAUUUCCUGGCUUGUACUCCAACGUGUGGUCGAACUUUGUCAAGAAGUCUUACCACCUAGUUUAAUUUGGCUUAACUUCUUAUGUGCUUGGAAGAUGUUAAUGGCAACAUUGUUUGUCUUCACCACAAAGUGAGACUUCAACAAGUAGUGCUUCCAGGUGCACAAGCAGUGAGUUAUGGUUAAGCUUGUGACUCUCAAAGGCAAUAGGAUGGUUGUCUUACAUUAAAACCCUUUUAAUGGUGAAGUCUAAGGCAUUUGUGUGCACCUCAAAUACCUUGGUGUGGUCGGGUAGUACUAACACCGAUUUCUCUGUCACAAUCUUCUUUAGAUCCUUAAAGGCCCGUUGACACCUUUCAUCCUACUCUCAUGCCUUAUUCUUAUUGAGAAGAUAAGUAAACAAAGUUGUCCCGGCUUAGCAGCCUUUGAUGAACCACCUGUAGUAGUUAACUAAGCCAAGGUACUUUGCUAGGAAGAUCUCAUUCCUAGAUGGUCUUGACCUUGUCAUCAUCCAUCAUGAGCUUGCCAUCCUUUAUAUGAUGCUUAGGAAGUUUACUUUCUCCUAGGAAUGAGCAUUUAUCUUUCUUUACGUACAACUCAUUCUGUCUUAGUACUUUCAAAACCUUCCUUAAGUGUUUCAUGUGCUCUUCUAGGGUGUUGCUAUAGGCAACUAUGUCAUCCAAGUGAACCACCAUGAACUUAUCUAAAUAUAGAUGGAAGAUCUUAUUCAUUAACGUGCAUAAUGUGGUUAGUGCAUUGGUGAGUUUGAAGGACAUCACUAAGAACUCGUAAGAACCAUAUCGGGUCACACCUAUUACCUUUGGCUCAACCCCUUUUGUUAUUCUUUACUUGGUAAUAACAUGAUCUCAAGUCCAACUUCGUAAAGUACCUUGCCCUACCAAGUUGAUCAAAUAGAUCAACAAUUUGCGGAAUAGGAUACUUGUUUUUUAUUGUCACCUAGUUUAGUACCCGGUAACCUAUGCACAUUCUUAGGGAUACAUCAUGCUUCUUUUGAAAUAACAUCGGCGCACCAUGGGGAGCCUUGGACAAUCGGAUGAAGCUCACAUCUAACAACUCCUUAAGUUGUCUUCUUAGUUUCUCCAACUCUAGUUAUGCCAUCCUAUAUGACCCCAUAGCAAAGGGCUUAACUCAUGGUUUAAGAUCAAUCUUGUGAUCCUCAUCUCUUCUUAGUGGGAGUCUCUUAGGCAACAUAACGUCCUUGAACUCAUCAAAGACUCUCUUAAUUGCCUUAGGCAUGGGUUCUCCCAAAGCAUCUCCUUAAUCCUCUUGAAGUGUAGUGAGAUAGGUUACCUGCUUCUUUUUCAACCCCUUCUUUACUUGCAUAGACAAUAACAAGGGGGUCUUAGGUGAACCUUCAAUGACUAUAAGGACUACGCAUGACAUCUCAUUUUCUAAGAUAGCCAUUGAAUAAAGUAAGGGUAAUGGCAUUGCCUUGACCUUUUUUAGGAAGUCCAUCCCUAGCACUACCUUGAAGUCAUCCAUGGGUGUCAUCGUGAAGUCAACCUUUCCUUCCCAUGUGCUUAUGCGUAUAGUCACCCCGCGUGCUACACCAUGUAGUGGCUUAGUAGCAGAGUUGAUUGCCAUAAGACAUUCUCCCUCUCUGGAUACUUAAAGCUCUAGUAUCUUUGCCUCAUCCAUAAAUAUAAAAUUGUGUGGCACUUAUGUCCACCAUGGUCUUGGUGGGCUUGCAUUCACAAGGGCUACAUACGUCAGCCCUUUGUUUUGCAGUGUCGUUAACAUUGGCUUGGUCUUGAAGACACUUAGAAGUUGCAUGGAUUCAACAUGAGCAUCAACCUCUUUUUCAUUCUCCUUGAUCAUGGCAUUUAAGGUCUUUCUCUUAGGGUAAUUAUGCACAUAGUGUGGACAAUCACAUAAGAAGUAGUUGGUCUUGUUAGGAAUCUUGGAUUACUCUGUUCCCAUGCCUUGGAUCAUGUAGGAUGCAUGCAAAUCUAUCCUAAGCUCCCUAAAUUUAUCACAACAGAUAAACAUGUAUUAAAAAACAAUAUGGAUAACAUAGAAAACAUAGAUAUAGAGAAUAAAGUCACAUACCUUUGAUUUGGAUGUUCCCAGAUCAAUUCCAAUCAAUGUAGAUAACUCUAAAGUCAUAAUGGAUUUCAUAAACACCAUGAUCUUUUGCCCAAUGACUCUUCCUUGUGUCUAGGCAAUGAGAUGGUGGAGAUCUCAAGGGUGAAGGCUAGGGUUCUCUCUCUACACUGAAAGGGAUAAUGACAAAACUUAGAAACCCUAACCCCUAAAGGGGUUUUGAUAGGUUUUCUACUAGGCUUAAGUGACUUAAACCCACAAUAGGCUUGGGUCACUUAAUCUAAACCAAAAAUGUUGCUAAUUGAUUAAUUAACCAUACAAAGCCUAAUUAAUCAAUUAGCCUAGUCCAAAAAUACAACUCACUUAUCCCUGUGCAACCUUAUAUAAUUACCAAAAUGCCCUUAUACACAAAAGUGAAUUAAAAAUCCAUCCAACCCUCAUAAGUCAUGUCAACAAGGAAUAUGAGUUCAGAGCGGGGACCAUUGAGACCCAUAUGAGUACUAGCUCCCUCAUAAUCAAAUUCUGAAAUCGACUCAACAUCUUACUACAGACGGUCAAUUGUAUCCCAAUACUCUAUGUAUAUUACAAUAUAAUACCUAGUGCUUAGGUUCGUGACCUACUAUCCUAUACAUGCAGACUCCCCAUGAACUAGUGUCUGCAAUCUAAUAAGGUAGUGUUAUCACCUAUCAAGAUUACCUCUCAAAUUCUUGAGUUACAGAUCUCACUUAUUAUGUUAUCAAAUGCCAUACUCUAACUCUAAGGAACAUAUGUCAAAUUCCAUUAAAGGAAAUACUGUAGUCACAAAUUUCAUGAUCACAUGUCCUUUAGAUCACCCCAAGAAGACGCACUGUCUCAAUCCCAUGAGAUAUCAUGGUGCCUCUAUUGAGAAUACCUAUUGCCCUAAACCUUCAUUAACAGUGACCUAAUUCAUAGGGAUAUAUGAUCAUUUUAGGGUCUCACCCAUAGGUCAAAACCUCAUGUUGAUUUUAGCACAAACUCAAUACCCUCUCAAGGUUGAGAGUCAAUGCAGUAUAGUAGCUUGGUGAAUCAUGAAAAUUGAUAGCCUUGCAUCAUGAUUCGUUGUAGGUCUUGUCCAAUGUGCAUCACAUACACUAGUACGCUCACCAUGGGAAACUCAUCUUGACAACCAAAACAAGUCAUCUCUCUAAUUUGGAGGUGGUGUACUACAGUCUCUAUUGGAUUGCCCAAAUCCAUGAACCAAUUGUGGACAACUUAUCUACUUACAAGGAACCCAUGACUUGUAUAUUUUGUGCAACUCCUAAUGCACCCAAGUCAUGCACAAUGUAAGAGACAUGAGCUAAAUGCUCAAAUCAAUGUCAAUACACCAAAGAGAUAACAAAUGGAUAGUUAAGUCUAAUUUUGUUACAUCAUGUCUUGCUUUUAGAGACUCAAUCCCAACAGGUCCUAAGCGUGGACUCCUUUUGCUUGUCUUUGCCCUUACCAUCCUUACCACUAAGGGCUUUACUUGAUCCUUUGCAACGGUGUAAUCCUUCAACCCCUUGUCUCUCUCAUAUUUACCAUGGUCACCUUGGACAGUGGCUUGUGCUUGGAGGAGUCUCCCCACUUGUACUCUACUAAGGACUUGGCUACUGUGAUGGCUAUAACAAGAUCUUGGACACCACAACGUUGUAGCUCUUGUGCAUCCCAACUUUGUAGGUUCUCUAUGAAGUUGAAUAGAAACUCCCCCUUAGUUAUAUUAGAAUCUCAAACAUCAAUGUAGAAAACUCUUUCAUAUAAUCAUGGAUCGAGCUCGUGUACUUGUGACACUUCAUAUUCUUCCUUGAUAGGUUCCUAAGGAUAAAACUGCCUCUUGAUUUUUCUCUUAAAGGCAUCCCAUGUAUCUAUGGUGCACAUGUCUUUUUCUAUGUCGACAAACCUCCAAUGCCACCAUAGAGUAACAAUAUUGGUGAGGUAUGGGAUCAUGGUAUGUAUAUUAGUGGCUUCAUUUGUCAAUGCUAUGCCUUGAAGUAUCUCUCCAUGUGCUAUAGGAAGUUAUCUAGUUCCUUAACACCCAUCUUUCCACUAAACACAUGUGGCUUUUGUAUCUUCACUCUUAGUGCCUCAUGAGUGGCCAUAACCCGUGCCAUCACUAUGGUCUUAUAGAUAGUUAACUCUUACCUAAUCUCCUAGUCCCGAGUCUCUAAGUGUGUUGUCAAGGCCUUUACCCUUGACUUUAGGCUAGUAAUCAUACUCAUGACCUUAUCUUAGAAGAACAUAAACCCCUCGUGUGACAUUGAUUGAACUUGUGAGACAAGCAUUCCCUCAUGAAGGUCUUGCAUUUGCUCCCAUAGAUUCUCAUUGCCCUUCUCCAUGCUUGCUUAAACAAGUCCAUCCCCUCCUUGGUGUUUGCUAUGACUAGCUCCAUCUUUGCUAACCUUGCCUUCAUGUUGUUAAUGGCAUCACAAGACUUUUCCUUUUUAUCCUCACCACGUGUCGUAGGACCGGUCUCCCUCCCACGAGUCUGCUCACUAGUCAUUUCCUCAAUGUUGGAUCUCGACAUGCUUCCUUCACUUGUACCAAUGCUUGCUUCGCAACCAUGCUCCAAUACCAUUAGUCACAGACUUAGGCCAUUCCUAAGCUCACGUGCGACACUUAGACAACUUAAGACAUUUAACGUUGCUAAGUCAGUCUUCCUUUCUUACUUAGCCUACUAGGCUAAGUAAUGCACAUGCCUUGGAAGCUAAGAUGAGAACUGAAAAUAACACUUAAGAAAAGAAGUUUUGUAUUGUAUAAGGAAUGCUUUGCAAGGCUAAAAGCUCUCAACUUACUUAGUGCCUUGGCCAAAUGAGGCCAUCUCUUAUUUAUAGGUAACCAAUGAACUCCUUGAAACACACAUAGGUCCUUACAACUCUAAAAUUCUCUAGAAUCUUACACAAGUCUUAUGUACAACUUAUGUACAAGAUGACUCUAGAACACUUCACCGCUUUCCCUUAUUUUUCAUCCCUUGUAUAGAGAUGUGUGGGUGUCUCUAAGCUUCUUCGAAGUAGCCAAGUGUAAAUGGCUCUAAGAGGCUCUAAAAGCUUUCUACUUUCUUAUAUAAGCUUAAGCGAGAGUCAUUUGAGUAGGUUGUGACAUAUAGUUGAUUAUCCACAAUUACCGCUUAUUCCCACAUCUUUUACAUGAAUAAUAUAAGGUUGCGAACAUCCUUUGGCCUUCUCUUUUGUUUUAAUGAUGUAGUACCAAUACUUGUGUUUCUCAUCCCAUGUUGGUUUCACAUAUUCAAAUAAAGACAAAUUCCUACGAGUAGAUAAAUAUUUCUUCUUUAAAGAUGUUAGUCUUCUUUUCAACUUUGCCUUUUCUUAGGAUGGUGUUACAUAUGUGAUUUAUGGAGCAAAUAUUUCCUUUACAUUCUUUAGCAUUAGUUGCCUACUGAUUAGAUUAGUGUUUAAAAAAAUGUUGAUAAAAGUGUUCCAUAAUAGUUUCCUUCAAUAAACCCAUCUCCAUUAUGUCUUAGUGUUUAAUAGAAAACAAAUAAAGUUUCCUUCAAUGAGUCUUUAUCGAUGCUAAAGGGAUUGACCAACCUUUAAUCUUAUUGAAAGAGAUCUCACGUGAACAAGGAAGUCUGUGAGUUCAUCUAUACAUCCAUAAGUGGAUACAUCUAUUUUAAUAUUUUUAUAUUUUUUUUUCCUUCAUUAACCAAAAUACCUAGUGCAACUUUAGAAAUACUUCUUUCUUAAUUCACUAAACAAAUGACUUUUCAUGUUGUAUUGGACACUAAUUAAAGUAAUCUCAAAUAAUGUCUUUAUUUUAGUGUGUUACAACUCUAAAGUGGUGUGGAUUUUAACCUAAGAACUCUCAAAAUCACCUUGAGAGGUGCCCAAUUGUUUCUUCAACUUAGCAUGUGAAUUUUUAGCCCUAUUUAGUAUUAAAGAAUAUUUGAUGUUAUAUGCAACAUGUUAAAAGACAUUACGUAAAAAAAUAAAAAUGGUUAUAAAUGAUUAUACAUAUUCAUUGUAGUAUUAUUGAAAUGCAUGACUUUACCUACCUAAGUUGCUACAAACUUCUUUUUAUUUGGAAGUAACCAUUGAACUUUGUAGCAUAUAAUUGCUUUUAUAUACUUGGUUUUGCCCCUCAAAGGCACUAAUAUGGUACUCAUAUGUCUCUUUAGUUUUAGCAAACAUUAAAACAUUCCACAUGGAAAUAAAAAUCUCUCAACUCGCCUUUGACUCAAACUAUUUCUUAAAAUUUGCAAGAAUAUUUUUCGAUAUAUGCUAUCUACAUAAAAUAUGUGAGGAGGUUGAGAACACAUUAUGUAAUGCAUUCAUAAGAACAAGUUCCCUAUAAAUGACAACCACUCUAGGAAGGAAGUCUUCGUACAUUAAACAUCUCAAAUUUUGAAGGGCCCGCAUGUAAUUAUCUUCUUUUUCAUCCCCAAGAUAUGCAAAUGCAAUUGCAAAUAUCUUAUUUGUUGAUGUUACACCAACUAUCUCAAGCAAAUGUAUCCAUAUAUAUUCAUCUUAUAGGUAUAAUCUAAAAUCAACACCAAUGGAAAUGCUAGCAAUAAAUCAAUGGAUAUUGGAUGUACGGAUAUCAAGUUUGUAAUAUAGUCAUUGUGUUCAUCCUUUCUAUGUUAUUUGAUGUAUUCUAACUCCAUUAAUUUGUGCAUCAAUUGUUGCAUUUGUGAUUGACCACCAUAUUCAUUUACUUUAUGUUUAUACUUUGCAUUAUAAAUUAUACUCAACGUGUUGUAAUUCAAUUCAUAUAUUUGCUAUCGACCCAUCAAGAUUGCCUUUCUAAUCAUUGAGUUGUAGAUCCUCCUAUUAUGUAAUUAACUAACAUACUCUAGCUUAUAAAGAACAUAUGUUGAAUUCUACUUAAGUAAUUGAGAAAAUAAAGGCUAUGCUUAAAUGAGAAAAACACCUAAGAGGGGGGUGAAUUGGGUUUUUCAAAACUUUGUUAACACAACAAAUUCAAGCACAAUAUAAUCAAGAAAUAAAGAGAUAGAGUUAGAGAAUUCAAACUUGGAUUUUAUAGUGGUUUGACACUUCCUUGCCUACGUCCACUCUCCUCAAUCUCCUAACCGAGUGAGGGUUCCACUAACUUGAAGCUUCAACCAAGCUUCAAAUUCUUUACACUUGGAUUCGACUCAAAUGAACUCUUACACAAUCUCUUCAAGAUUCAAACCUCUUGAAGGCUUUAACACUCAAGUUUUACAAGAAAGAAUUCCUCAACCUAGCUCAAAGAUAGCUCAAAUAGAAAACAAAACUAGGAUGACUUACAAGGGUGCACUAAAAGAUAUGCAAGUGAUGGUUUAAUGCACUAAGAAAGAAAUGAGAGCUUUUAAGUUAGGAACAUGUAAGUAUACAAUUAAUUGUAAGUGUUCUCUAUGUUAUAAAUGAAGUGGAACUCUCAAUUUAUAGGUUUCUAAGCUCGAGAGCCAAGAAAAGCAAAAGACAGCCUCGACUGGUCGAGCUGGGAGUCGACCGGUUCACUAGCCAUUGAAGCAUUUAAUGCUUUGGUAGGUUACCGUUGCCUCGAUUGGACCUCGAUCGGAAGUCAACCAGGAAGGAUGGAACCUUAACCGGGAAGAGGGAGCUACUAGAUGAGAGAGAGUGUUUUUGGCACUCUUGGAUUGGACCUCGACCGGACAAGGGCAACCAAUCGACCAGUUCCCCAACAGGUUGAGCCAGUUGGCCAGAGCCUUAAUUGGUUAAGCCUUUUGGCCUCGAAAACCUAUCUUUUUCAAUUCAUUUCUUUUCUAACACUUAGGCAAGGUUUUUAGGUCAAUUAAUAUGUCAAUUUUGAAACGUUUUGCUUAAGGUACAUUUGAUAAAAUUCAGGUUUUAAUGAAAUCAAAAUUUAACGAAUAAACCGAGUUUUUAAAGAUGCAUGAAAAAGUAUGAAAAAACCUAAGUGCACACAUGCAUUCAUCUUACAUUCGUUUCCUAUGAUCAAAAGUCUUCCAAUAGUCUCGAUCUUGUAUCCCUUUGGUUCUUUAAUGAAUUUCUGAAUUUAUACAUGAGAUUAUUUACCAUUCAAACCAAUUAGUUACUUAACCAUGAUUUGUUAUCAUCAAAACCUGAUUGAGAGAACCCUUGGGCUAACAGUAAUUAUUACUUACAAUCGCAUGUCCUUUAGAUCAUCUAAGUGGAUGCGUUGUCUCAAUCUUACGAGAUAUCAUGGCUCAUCUAUUGAGAAUACCUAUUGUCACUAGCUUUCAUCAAUAAUGACCUAAUCUGUUGGGAUAUAUGACUACAUUAGGGUCUUACCUAUAGGUCAAAGUCUCCUAUUGAUUUUAACACAAGUGCAAUAUCUUGUCAAUCUAAUAGUUUUAGGUCAUGAUUCAUUAUAGGUCUUAUCUCAUGUGUAACCAUACAAACUAAUGCACUCACCUUGGAAAACCUCAUCCCAAUGGACAAGACAAGUCAUCCAUUCAAUUAGGAGAUAAUGUACUAUAGUUUCUACUGAAUUGCCUAAAUCUAUGAACUGAUUAUGAACCAUUAUGUAAGGAACUCAUGAAUUGUAUCCUUUGUGAAACUCCUAAUACACUCAAGUCAUAUACAACACAAGUGAUAUGAGUUGAAUGUUCAAAUCAAUAUCAAUGUGUACAAAAGAUAGAUAAGUGGAAACUCAAGUUUAACUUUGUUGCAUCAUGCCUUGCUUUUAAAGACUUUGUCCCAACAAAAUUAACUUGUCAUUAUUUAGUAUCUUGCAUACACCUACUAUUUUGCUUAGAUUAAGUUUUAUGUACUUCGAUUUGACAACUGUAAAUAGAUUUGAAAACUCUAAAUAGAGGUGGUUACUUUGAUGCAUGUAAUAUUGUUUGUAUCUUUCAACUUCUACACCUUUAAUUAGAGUCAUAAAUGUUCUUAAAUCAAGUUCUAGUUAAUCUCGAUUUUAAUGAUUACAAAAUAAAAUUUGAAAUAAAUGAUGUUAUGUAAAGGUAAAAGGAAAUAAAAAGGAACAAGAAGACUUCAGAAAGAUGACAUUCCAAGUUAAUUUUUUCUAGGAUCUCUUUGUUGUAUUGUUAGUGUACUAAGUUCAAAUUACAUUAUAUUUUUAUUUAAGUACUUAAAAUCAUUCAAAUGUCUAACUGAUUUUAUUUUUUUUAUUAAUUGGACAAAGAAUUAUUUUAAUUGAAAACCUCCUUUGAUUAGUGCUAUUGAUGGUUAAAAAUAUUUUUAAAAUGAUAAAAAUUUGUCUUUGAUUAUGGUGUAUUUGGCUCCUUAAUGCACAACUUUUGCAUUGCUAACUUGUCAUCUAGCAAAGUUCAUUUCUCUAAUCAAAUAUAGCAAGGCCUCAGUUUGUGUUUGAGGUCUCCUAGCCUAUUUCCACUAACUUAGCACAAGUUGUCUUAUCAUAACUUUAGGUGAGAAAUGUAGUCUUAAGUCUUAAGUCUUAAGUCGUAAGAAUCAAGUUGAUGAGUCAGUGUUGCAAUUUUUCAUUUUAGGACAUAAUUCUAAGUAAAUUUCAACAAACCUUUACAAUUACUCAUUUGCUUUAUGCUAGUAUUGAUUGAUUCAUUCAUCCUUAGCUUCAUAAUUUCCCUGACUUAAUAAUGAUUGAUUGAGAAUCACUUCGGGAAGUAUUUUUCAAAAACGAUAUCUGAAGCAUAGAAUUGAAAUUUUGAAAAACAGAUGGCGCUCAAAGAAAGCGAGUAUGCAUCGAUUACGUCAAACACAAAACAACAUAAUAUCUCCACACGUCCCACCACUCUGCGAAAGGCACGCGCUAACAAGUGCCCUAUAUAUACAUAUUCACAACUCAAACCGCCAAGCCCAUGCUCUACGGCUUUCUCUCCCUUUAAGCAUUAGUUGCAACUUGCAAUGGCCAGUACCGGUCCCGAGCGCAGAGAAGAGGAAGAUGCCCCCGCCGGCGAAGACGAAGAUACCGGAGCUCAGGUCGCUCCAAUCGUCAAGCUUGAAGUGGUCGCCGUCACCACCGGCGAAGAAGAAGAGGACGCCAUUCUUGAUCUGUACAGUUACUUUGUUAAAUUCUAGGGUUUUUAUUGAUGAUCUCUAGGGUUUUCUCUGAUUGGUUGUUAAUCGGAGUGUUUUAGGAAAGCAAAGCUUUAUCGAUUCGAUAAGGAAGGGAAGCAAUGGAAAGAAAGAGGCGUUGGAACUGUGAAGUUCUUGAAGCACAAAGGGUCGGGCAAAGUUAGGCUUGUUAUGCGCCAAUCGAAGACCCUAAAGAUCUGCGCUAAUCAUCUAGGUUACUUUUUAUCUUUGUUUUUGUUUUUUUGUUUUUUUUGAUGAUUAUUGCUCCAUUUGUUAUCCAAGAAAUGCCUGAUACAACUAUUUGGUUAAUUUUCGGUGGAUCAUUCGGUUCUUAAAAAGCUUUUAAAAAAAUUUAUCAUUUUUUUUCUUCUGCUUUCUUGGAAAACAGACGAAGGUUUCUUUGUUUCCAUUUUCUUUUUAUGAUCCUGUUUUUGUGUUUCAAUAUAUUCUACUUGUUAUGCAGUUCUUCCGACUAUGACAGUGCAAGAGCACAGUGGAAACGACAAAUCUUGUGUGUGGCAUGCAACGGACUUUGCAGAUGGUGAACUUAAGGAUGAGCUUUUUUGCAUUCGAUUCGCAUCAGUUGAGAGUGAGUGUUCGUUUAUAUUAGUUAUUUCCUUUAUCUGCUAGAUUUCUGCGUGCGUUUCAUAUAUUUACAUUCCCCGUACUUUGUAUUAUUUAGUGAAUCUACUCAUGUGUCUGUAAAUACAAAAAUUGGUUGAGAGUUUUACAAAGUCUGAUUUAUGGACACUUUCCCCCCCUGGAUAUUGACCCUUUCUAUUUUUUUCAUGAGUUCUAUUCUGUUUUUCUUUGAAGAUCAAAUCGCUAUUUAAGAGAGUGUUUCCUUGGCUAGCGGUUACCCCUGCUCCCCACCCUAUUCAUGGUGCAAUAUGCAUGCACUCAUGAAUGGUCCUUUGUGGAUGUUUUGAAAUGCCAGUUCCAAUCCAGAGUCUAGGAGUCAUCAGCUAAGGACUUCUGAGUAGUUGGUUCUCUUGGCAUUUGGCCUUUGGUUUGAGGUACUAUGUCUUGCCUGUCUAGAGGAACAAGGUUAAUUGGGGAUCUUCUUUCCUUGUUGCUCAAGGGAUCAGUGAUGCCACAUAAGAUUGUUGGAUGACAUCUUCCACAAUUGUUCCCCCACUUUUCUCUUCUUGAUGCCCAAGAUUUCCUCAAGAAGAGAAAAGGUCUUUCAUACCUAUCCUACUAUGUGAUUUGGGUAUGGAUGGGCAACAAUUGCCAAGAGUUUGGCAGUUAUGGGGAAUACAACCUUCAUUCAAUAUAAAUCAUUUUUUUUUUUUCUUAAGAGAAUCAUUAUACUAAUUGUUUAAAAUGUACAAUAAAGUUAAAAAUUGAUCAUAAAAGGAAAAGAGGUAAAGUAGUUGUGCAUGAAAAGUUACAAACUUUAUUCUUACAAUGAAUAUUGAAGAAUUUUUGUUUGAAUAAUUUAAAUGUUUUUAUUAAAAAUAAUGAUGAUUGAUGAAUACAAACUUUUAAUUGAUAUAUUAGUGUUUUUUUUGAGAUAACAUGCAAAGACAUGUAUAUUAACAACACAUAGAAGUAUAUAUGCCUAGUUAGAAUUUUGAUCUAAAAAAACUCAAAAUUUUUUAUAUUUCUAGAUUUUGUGAUGGGCCUAUAUUAUAACUCAUGUUUGGUUAAAUUGAACUUUUCAAAAUUCUAGUAUUUAAUGUUUUUAUAUGGUAUAAUAUAGUUUAAUUAUUUAAUACUUCAUGCCCAUGAGUCAUGACUCAAGUGGUAUUAGGGAGGGUUUGUGGGAGGUUCCCAAGCUCAAUCUCAAUGUGGUAAAAAAUUUGCUUAUCAAGAAAAAAAGUAUUAUUCUGUACUUCAUGUUUCUAAGAUAUAUAUACAUGUAUAUAUAUAUAUAUAUAUAUAUUUUCACUAUAUAAAAAAACUUACAACACAUAGUAAGAUAUGAUACAUAAAACAGAGAAAUAGAAAAACAAUACAUGAUAUGUUUUAUGAGUUAACUACGAUGGUUGUUUCUAUUGUUAAUGGAUGGGUGAGAUGUGUGGUACUUUGCUCCAGGUUUCCUAGUUUCUUUUUGUUCUUUAGGUUGUAGUAAAAUAAGAGAUUCUUUUUAUGGUUGAACUGUUGGGGUUCAUUGAAUUUUUGGCAAAUCUUGGAGGUUCUUGAUGGCAUGUAUAAUCAUUCUCCCCAUUUCUCUGAGAUGGUUUUUUGCCCCUAUGAGACUGAGGAAUGAUGAUCAUUCUCCAUACACUAUACUUAAAGUCUGUUUCAGGUUGCUUUUUCAGCCCUUGAGCAAGAGGUUCUGAACAAAUUCAGCCUUUCCCUACAACAUUUAUACUUGGAUGGGGGUGUAUUUUUUAAUUCACAAUCCUUUUUCCUCCUAGCCAAGAAGGAUAACCUAACCUGUUUCUUGGUAGCUAAACCGAUCUGUAGAGGCACACUAAUCCAUAAAGGCAUAAUUAAAGGUGUAUAAGAUGUGCGAGGUUGGUUACCUCUUUCAAAGGUUCUGAUGCUCUUGUUAAGCCUAUUGUUGCAUUUGGAGAGCAUGCCUCUCCUUUGGAAUGUCUUGUAGAGAGAUCAUUGGCAUGAGUUGGCUUUUAUUCUUCUUGAGAAAAGGGAAACAAAGAUCUAACGAUUUCCCCCCCAAAUCACCGUUGAUAGUAAGCACAAAAGUGGUUACUCCCUUGUAUAAAUUGUAAGAAAAAUGUUAUUUUUGUUAUUAUCCUCUCUCUCUCUCUCUCUCUCUCUCUAUAUAUAUAUAUAUAUAUCAUUCAAAUCUACCUGUCUCCUCUUCAGUCUCCUUAGUUGGUACAUGUUAAAGGGCAUUGUGGAUAUCACUUUACACCUUUUUGAACCUAUAGUGGAGGGAAACAUUUAGUGUCCUCCAUUGGGGAUAUUUUGUCUUCCCUGAGUUGUAAUUAGUGUUUGUUUUGGUUUGCUCUUAGAUCUUUUGUAAUCUUUCUCAUUUAUCUAGCUUGUAUCACUUUUCUUUUUAGAAGAUUUUUCUUUUGUUUUCUUAUUAGAUUUGUAUAUUGUGGAAGAAGAUUUUGUCCUUUUUAAUCUUUUUAAUUGAUAAAAAUGAUUUAGUUGAGUUGCAGUUCAUCUUUCUCUCUCUCUCUUCUCCAGCCCUUCCCCUCUCUUUUUUAUUCCCUUUCUUUUCUCUUGCUCUCCCUUCCUCUCCCUUAGCAUUUAGAAGUACCAUUCUUUUAAGAUUUUCUUUUACUAGGGUGCUAUACUUGUUUUACACUCAUUCCUUUGUGGAAUGUAGUGUUUCCUUGCUUAGUACUUUGUCAGAGUUUUGGGACCCCCAUACCUCUUCCUCCCUCUGUUCCUCACUCCCCCUUCUCUUCCUCCCCUUUCUCUCAUUUCUUCUCUCAAGUAUUGGCUUCAGUCCCCAACUAGUGGUCUGUUUGCAGAGGGUUCUUUGGUUUGUGGUCUUCCAUCUUAAGGGAGCAAGAAAGCUUGGUUUGAUCAGUUUUCUAAAGAAAAUUUUACUGAACCAAUAUUAUUAUUUCACAUUCUAAAGAAAAUUUUACUGAACCAAUAUUAUUAUUUCACACCUAGCAAAGAACCAAACCAAUGAUAUCUUCAUUGGAAAACUGAACCAAAGCAAUCCUUUUUGAGGAUUGUUUGGUUUGGUUUGAUUGAAUCGGUUCGGCCACUUGAGGAAAAUCAAUUGGGUAUUUGUGAAUACAACCCUUUCAAAAAAUCAAACUUUAACAUCUAGCCAUUGAACUCCCAACAAGAUAAACAAAAACCACUGAAACACAAACUACCAAAAUAAAAUAACAUAGUCAAACCAUUACAUAGAGCCUCGCUACCCAGUCACCCUAUUUGGUUGCCAAGAAAGAAAGAGCAAAACACACAUUUCCAACCAAACAGUAACACUCAAAACUUCUUGCAACUAAAUGUUUGCUAAUCUUAGAUACAAGAAAAAAAAGCUUAAGAUUUUAAAUAAUCUUUACACAUGGACCCUUAGCAAUAAUUGAAUUGAGGCAAAACACAUGAAUAAUAAAAAAGAAAACAAAUAAAAAAUAAAAGACUUAAAAUUUGUGGACUGAGAAUGAUGAUAAUGAAAGUGUAAAAUCUUUCAUUGAGAAAACCCUGGCUCUUUAAAGAGGAAUUGUUUUUUGAUGUUUUUUGCAAAAAAAAAGAAGUCAAAGUGAGCGAAACCAUUAGAUGGAGUAAAUGUUGAGAAUGGCAAAUGAGAGAUGAGAAUUACAAAUGAGAGAAACAUGAGGAUUUUUUUUUUCUUUUUGAUAAAUGAGAGAAACAUGAGAAUUAAACCUUAGAACUUUAAAAACACAAUUCCAAUAUAACAGGUAGGUUUGGAUUGGUCGAAGUCAGUUUGAUCCAUUCAUAUGCUUGAAUUUACACCCCUAUUUCAUCCUACUUCCUUAAGACUAAAGGCAUGGGGUCAUUGGGUCUUUUUAUCUCAGCUUCCCGAUGUGCACUAUUCUCAGUUUAUAGGACGAGGAAAACUUAAAUGUCCAAGUUUCUAAUGUGAUGUGGGGUAUUACUUGAUGGUGUACUUUGAAUACGUGCUUAAUAACACCAAUUUCUGGUGUUUUUGGUGUAAUUCUAAAUACUUUGAAUCUAUCUUGAAUCGUUUUUUCAGAAUUGGUCAUUGAAUUGGUAAAACUACCGGGUAAUAGUUCAUUAGUUGGAUCAGUGGUUCAAUUGUGAUGUUAGCAGGACAUUGUAAAUGUAUGUUUUAUAUAUUAUUGAAAUUAAAGAUAAUUAUAUUAUAUAUAAUUAAAAAAAGUUAAAUAUUUCACCAUUUUAUCUUUAAGAUGAUAAAUCAUAAUAAGAAUAAAAUAUAAAUAUGUCGACAUUUUUAAUUUUAUUUAAUAGUAAGGUAUAACAUUUUUUGGAUGCAUAUCCAAAAAUAAUAAUUUUUUUUUAUUUAAUCUAUAUUUUAAUAGCUAUAUAUUCUAUCUUCUUAUUGUAUAAAUUUUUUUAUUAUAUACAUAAGUGUUACUUUGUUAAAUUAGUAGAUAAGGGUUGAGUAGCAUUUAAAAUCAUAUACACUAUUGAGCAACGUGGCCUAGCAGUCACAUCUACACUCAUUUAUCAUGCUUCCUAGGUUCAAAUCUAGAAGGCUGUGCAGCUAGCUCUCCCGCCCAAAGCCAAUGGACCAUGUCACUGAGCAAAAAAGGCUAGGAGAGUGGACACAGCCAACAUGUUGCAACUGGUUUCCAUAAAACUGGCCAGUCCAACUGGCUGGGUCACCAGUUCUUGGGCAGUCCAAUUCCUGGAAAAAGGACUGGUUGGUGGUUGAACCGGUCUAACCAGAUGAUCUAGAUCUGAUCUGGUUUUCAAGACAUUGCUGUGGUGGUCAUUUUCAUCCCUGAAAUAUUUGGCCCAGCUGUGCUGCUUGUGUUCAUGGUGGCUUACAGAGUGGGUUAGGUUAAAAUUUACUUAUGUUGUCUUGUGUCUUUUUACCCGAAUGUGGUCUUAUGGUUUAAGAUGCCAAUAACAGAGCAUCUUGGGAGUGGGAAAACAAAUCUGACAGUGAUAGCUAUUCUGCUGUCCAAAUGCAGCUCAUUGGUUGCCCUCUGAGAUGGGGAUGUGGAGAGUGACUGUUGCACUGUUAAAUAUUGUCCUGCUUCCCAUCACCUCAUGAGAAUAGAUCUACAUGUUCUGUUUUACUGUUACUAGUCAUGGUUUUUUAGAUCUGGGUUUUGUUAUGUCAGCUUUGUAAUAGAUCAAACAUAUUUUCCAAUCAUCCCACAUGACCAGUUUUCGUUGUUAGUGUGUAUUUAUUGAAGAUAUUGUUCAUUAAUAAUCACUAAAUGUGGUCCGGCUUUUGAGUAAUUAGCAUAAACUUGUAACGUGGUUGUUACAACAAUAUUAUUUUUGAAUUUGGUGAAGAAGUGUUUGCUUUACUAUAGGUAAAAUUAUUUUUAUUACCACCUUCAUAGGGACAUAACAGAUUUAUCUGGUAAUUGUGGAGGAUUUCAUUAAGAUUAGUUGCAAUAUUCCAUAUGCACAUUUAUAAUUUGGAGUGCUAUAUGUACUAUUUUACCUGUUUAUUGGAGGGUGUUGUUCCUUUUAAGUCAGAGAGGGCUAUUGUUGGUCUGGACAUGAAUCUGAAUGUUCAUUUCCUGUUUUGGGUUAUGACCUCUUGAAAUCUCCCAUGGAUAACAUAUAUUCUCGUAUUCCAGAUUGCAAAACCUUCAUGGAAAUGUUUCAAGAAGUUGCUGAAAGCCAGGGAAAGAAAGAAGAAAGUGAAGAUGCCUCAGCUGCAGCUGGACUUCUUGAGAAGUUGAGUGUUGGGGAUAGUAAGACGGAGGACAAAGGCCAGGAAGAGGGAUCCCUUGCCACCAAAGAGAAGGUAGCUGUAGACAAAGAGGAGGUCCAAGCAGAGGCAGAUAAGAAAGAUGAGACUGAAUCUCCAGCAUAGACUAGUGUGGUGGUGCCAUAUUCAUAAUGGUUCCAGUUGAUAAAUGGAUGUACCUUUCCACAGGUUUGGGCUUGUUGUCAUAUAUGUAAACUCAGUUGAUUGAGAUGUGUUGAGAUAUCUGGGUGGAAAUGGUCUGUCCAUGGGGUCGGGCAUUGAGGGUUGUGAUUGACAGUCAGUGGAUCAAGUCUUGGAUCCGUGAUUGGCACUGAGUUUGUCAAGACUUAAGAUCCUGUUUGCUUUGUCAAAAAGUCCUGUUUCGUUUGUGGAUAAUAAGAGAGGGUUAUCCCUGUUGGGUUGAGUUCUUUGGGUACUUCCUUUUCUCGUUGUCCUGGGCAUUUUUAUCUUUCUUUUGUCAUCGCCUUCGGAGUUAUUAAAUGAUACAUGUCGAGUAUCACCUCUGUUUUCAGUUUGGGUUUGUCUGCUGUAUUAUUACUUUUCAUCUUUUCGGAGUUACUAAAUGCCACAUCAUGGGCGUGUGGUUGGAGACUGGAAUUAUGUACUCUUAUGGUAUCAGUUGCAUUACACUAACGAAAAAAAUAGGUGGCCGAGAUAAGGGCAAGUUCAACAUAAAAGUGGAGUGGGUGGCUGAGGCCUCAUUUAAUAUUUUCAUAUUUUCUGAGGCAAAUUCCGCGUUUAACCGGAAUCUGGCUCAACCAUAUAUGGACUAUAUAAAAUCUAUUGCGUAUCAUGUGUGACAUUAGCUAGAACCGUAAAUCACAUUUCUUAUUGCCUUUGAAGACCUCUUUUAUAUAUACAUGCGGGUGAGUUUUAUGGGUGGCAUCAUUUUCAAGCAGAAAGACCAGCAGUUGGUCUAUGGUUUACUACCGAGCAGUUUGUUAGGGUUUUGAACCUUCCUAUGUCUUGAUAAAAUUGGAGGUGCCCAAAAUGAAAAAAUGUGUUAGAGUUGGUAUGUUAAGAAAUGAUGAUCAAACCUAGAAAUGCAUUAGCAAAAUCUGAACAUGAGUAAAUAAAAACCUUGUACAUUUCUUCCUCUUUAAUCUUUCAUGUUUCUGUGAAAUUCUCAAGGUCAAUGACAAAAUCUUGGGACCCUUAGGCCUUGAAUGCUAGGCCAAGCAAGGGUCAAGCCUAUUUACAGCCCAAAGAAGCAUUUACAACAAAUGAAAUUUAACAUAUAAACUGGAAAUGGAACCCAGCCCAAACAAUUAAGAAACAUUAAAAAUGAUUGAGAGCACCAAGCCACACAAAGUAAAUAAAACCUUCAAUGUCACCUGCAAGCACAGGAAGAUUCACUGGUUAAGACACAAACCAAUACCUAUCGAGGAAGAGCAACCAAAUAAAUAAUUUGUGCUUGGUCUUUGGUUUGGGAAUGAGGGAGAGAAAAUAUUAGCAUUAUCAAACUGUGUGUGACAGAUCGAUACCCUAUAUCUAUUCUCACCUAUCAAAUAAGAGGAAUUCUCGAAUCUGUCAUGGCUUAUAAUCAAACUGUGUGCGGAGGGGGAGAGAGGGCAUCUCUAACCUAUUAUCAAUUAUGAAAUUGUGUGAAAGAUAGGGUACCCUUCAACUAUCAACUUGUGUGUAUAGAUAGAUUCACUAACCUAUUUCCGUGUCUGAGUGAGAGAACCAUAUUUUGUGUACGUGCAGGCAUGAGCUCAUGUGUUGAUUGAGAAAAAUUGUGCACAAGGGCUAAUCCAUUAUUGCUCAUCAACUUGUAUUUCAUUCAAAUAAGCAAUUAAGAGCUAUUCUCUAAGCUAAAUAAAUUUCCUUAAAAUACUUUAAAGUAUAAAUUGUCAUGAAUUAAUGCUAUUUUAGAAAACAGAUGGAAAAUUCAAGAUGCUGCUACAUUUGUCCACUGAUCAACUUUCAAAAUAAAAAUAAUAUAUAAAAACAGAAUAGAGAUUUCAAAGGGUUGAGAAAAUUAACCUAUAAUCUUCACAAGUUAUCGGAAGAAGGAAAAAUUUGAGAUGCCAUCGACAUGAGAAGACUGAUUUUAGAAGAGUACACCACAUGCUAUGGCAUCUUUAAUGCUUGCUUCAAUUGUGCAAAUGCUGCAGGAUGCAUCCUACCAAUAGCUGAAUUAAAAGACUCUCCAUGAAGAGCGGCACAUGUCUGAAGAUUGUCUCUCACUGACGUUUCUAAUGACAACUGAUUGAUAGGGUCUGAAAACUUUAUCUAAUGAGGAAAAGAACAAGUCCAUCAGAUUUGCUGUCUAGCACAUUUUGUUCUUAUUCUUAGUUGGCAGUUCAGGAACAUCCCAAGAAUCUUUACCUGCCUUCUCUUGAACUCUUUACUUGGAACAGGUCCUUCAUUCUGAGACCUGCUGGAGCUCAUGUUGUCACCACUGCCAUUUAUUAGAAGAAUAUUGAAAAUCAAAGCAUAUACCACGAUAGUUUUCUAAUCCUAAAAUAAUCACUAAAAACCUUGAGAAACAAAUAAUAGGUUAGAGACAUUAUUGGGAAUUCUAACCUGGAUUCUUCCUCUGUUAAAUCAUCAUUUCCUCCCAAAAUUACACUUGUACAUACACUGAAUGAAUCAAAAUGCAUCACCACAACACAUAUACAAAAGCUAACUAACACUUAAAUUUCCAUUAGUGCUUAAAUUUUCAAGGUUGAACACAUACCUUAGGAUCUGAUCAAGUUUAUCAAGAACUUGAGGUAAUCUUAGGGUUAGAAUGAUAGAAAGGGCUAAACCAAACAUCUUCCUUUGAGCUGAGGAUGCAUUGUCGACCUGUGACCACAAUUGAAGGCAAAAAGCAGUGACAUUAGACUAAGAAUAACUUUCACUUACAUAUAAGUUUGGAUUAGACAAUUCAAAAUGCAGUUAGAUCUUAACAUAAAUGAAAUACUAAGUGAGCCCUUAGAUCAUGGAUCCAAAAUCAAAACCCAAAAAGCAAGAAAAUAGAAAUUUCUCUUCAAUAAAAACUCGCCAAUGUGCAGGCCUUCCAUCACGACAGUUUCACUCAAGAGCUCAAGUAUGCACUGUUGAUAUGGGCAAUUUGAGCAUGCUGUGGCAUCACUCUCUCUUUAUAAGUCUGAAAUCAAGAAACUUCUCAAUGAUUUAUUAAUUUUAUCUUUAUUCUUUUUCCUAAAGUAGGGAGAAUAAAUGCCCAACCUUCUACACUACAAUAUGCAAAUUGUCACUGAGGAAAGUGCCACAAUUGCCAUGGUCAAGCAAAUCAUGAGCUUUUCUGAGCCCAUCAGUUUUCAUGUUGCAGCACCCCGAAUGAGCACAAUUUUCCAACAGCAAGAGGUAAGAACCAUCUUGCACCUGUACAGACUUUCAUCUUAAUUCCAAAACUAUACCUCUUUUUAUUACACAAAUGUAACCUGAUCCAUAGCAUGCAAUUCAGAAAUUCUCAUAUCCCAAAUAUUGUGAACAUGUAUGAACUACCUGCAAGUUAACAAUAUUCUUGAUAAUGCAAGAUGAUAACACAUUUUCUCUCCAACCUAAGUAGAAUUGUUUCUAGCCAAUGAAAUUCAUACGCAAAUAUUUUGCAUUAUAUUUACAUGAUCUGUAAUACCUCAACCAACUAAUAUUUCCUCUAUCCAAUGUAACAUAUACUAGUCGAGUAAGGAAAGUGCCUAAUAAUUUCUUAUAAUGAAUGGUUUCAAAAAAAAAAAUAGAAACUGGUUAGAUUUAUCUAUUUUAUGAAGAUAUUCUCACUUUGACUAGAACAAGUAAAACAAAUAAUAUAGCAUGUCUUUCAAUUCCAAUUUCCUUGCUUCUAAUGGACUGACAUGAGUUAAUUGAUUCAUGAAUUGCAACCUACAUGGGAAGUAUCUUGUUCAUGUCCAGAGUCCAGAAUUUUAAUCAAGCUAAUGUUCAAGAUUACAGACACAGGUAAAAUAUUUUUUUAAAAAAAUAGAACAAGGAAGCAUUGAACAGCUUCUAAUUAACCUUGUGAAGGAGAUGCAUGUCCCACUCACCUUCUCAAGCCAAAUGUCAAUCAGACAGAGAAGUAUAUUUUCUUCAGCUGGGAAACCGGCCUUCUGGAGGAGCAACAUAAGUGAUGGCUGUGAUGUUAAUUGGGCAAGGUAAUUGCUAUUCAUUACUAAAAUCCUUGCUAGGAUGGCUGCUGCUGAUGCUUUUACUGCUGUCUUAGAAGGAUCAUGAUCAUCUCCUCCAGUCAAACAUAUGACGACUAAUUUCUAGGAACAUUCAGGGAAAAAAAAAAAACAGAAACUUAUGAAACUUCUUCCAAAAAUGCAGAAAAUGCAACAUCAUUAGAGAUAUGUUAGAUCAUAAAAGAUCUAUACAGAACAAAGGAAAAAAAAUCUCCACUUACCUGCAAAGCACUGCUGAUCAGUGGAGGCACUUCCAUAGGGAAACACUGCAAAAUUGCAGAAACAAAUAGAAUUAGAAUUUGAUCAGAUGCAUGAUCAGAUGCAUGAAGAUUCACCCCUAUUAUAGCUAUUCUUAAACCUCCAACAACUAUUAAGGGUAGACUUAGAUUCCCGAUGGAAAUGAAAGAAUUCCAUUUUGCAUCCCACAGCAUCCGGAAACAUAAACCAUCCAUUGAGUGCAUCAUUUAUAGAAAUUAUGCCAUCAACAUUGAGUGAUAAUAAAAAUAGAACUGGCAAAUAAUUCACAAAAUCCUAAAUGUAAUCCUAUAAGUUCAACAGAAAAAGACUUGUUUCAAACUGCUUCAAUAACCCUGAAGAAAUGAUCUUAUCUCCAGAAAUUGAUCAGAUGCAGAAAUGGAAUCAUUACCACAAAUGAUCCUACACAUGCAAUAGAUAUGGACUCUUUAGAUUUCCUCUGAAAAUUAAAACUAAUGAUAUACUCCCAACUUAGAAGGCUCCAUAAACCCAACAACCCUGAUCAGCAUGUCUUGUGUAUGGAGAGUGGAGAAUUUUCUAGCUAUUUCUCCUUCCUUUUCUUCUUCACUUGGAGAGAGGCUGUUUGAUUGGUUCAUGUUAUUGACCUAGAUAUCAAAUUGGUCAUUUCCUCUAAGGGGCUUGCUAGGAGUCAUAAGGACAAACUAUCGAUGACCUUCUGUAUGGCAUCAUUACUUCACUUCCCUUGGGGUUGUUAGCACCAAGGAAGUUUCCUCUGUUCCCAUUAGCAUGAUUCUAUUGGGUUAAAGGUUGAUUUGCCUUACUUGUGAGAAGAGCAUAAUUGACAGGACUGUCAACAUAACCUUCGGGAUACCUCAAAUUUAAUGUUGAUAGGUAACCUAGGACAAAUGAGUACUAGUGGUCCAUUCAGAAGCAAAUCAUCAGAGCAUCUUUAGCUCUUCAUAUUGUCAUUUACACAUGCUUUUAUAGUUAUAAAGAAAUGACAUCAAGGAGUUGUUAGCCUUGUCUUUUCAGAUUUACACUAUUGCCCAGAAAUUUAGGUGGGUGCACAAGCCUUCAACAUUAAUGUUAAACAAAACUAAUUCAUGCGCCAGAUGCAGUUAGGAAGCUGAAAUAUCAAAGCACCUUUUUCUUCCUCUCAUAUAUGGUGUUGGUAGCCAUUUUUCAACAGCCAAAUAUCCAUCAAAGGCCAAUUAGUAGUGAGGAUGACUUAACAGACUAAACUCGGUCAAUCCAGUGGCUAGAUAGGCUUGCCUUAGUCAUACGGCUAUAUGUGGUCAAACAACCUCUGACAGUGGCCUGCAACAGAAAGUUUUUUUUUGAUAGGCAAAGUCAGUGAGUUAUACUGCCUCCCAAGGUCAAACAGCCUCAUAACAAGCUUCGAUGUUAAUUAGGGGCUUAUGACAAGCCAACUUAAUGGUCACACAAGGGACAUGUGCCACACAAAGCUCGACCUAGGCCAAGGGCCAUUGCCCUGGGAAGGCUACCUAAAGCAGGUACUAAACUGGUACUUGAAACAAAUCUGAAAAUAAAACAAUCCACUGAGGAAAUGAAAGCUAUGACCCUCAAUGUUGGUAAAACAAGUGGGAGGAUUUCCAUGAAAAGAGUGUCCACCCCCUACUAUAGGAAGUCCGAGAGGUAAGUAAUGCCUUAAGACAACCAAACAGCAAUAACAAAUCUUGGCAUGAAAAGGUAAAGCUCCUAACAAGAUGGCACUAUCAAAAAAAGUUAAAAUGGAAGGCUGUGUGUACCUCUAGGGAGGACAAAAUGUAUAACGAAUGACCCCCAUUUUUCUUGGAGUUUUAUUAUAUACAAAGAGGUAGCCUGAUUGGCACUAAAUAGAUCUAAAUUUAUUAAUAAAAUCAUGCCAUUUUGCACCAGUUAGGCACGUAAUUAUACGUUGUAAUUGAGUUAUUUGCCACAAGGUGCUUUGACUUGUGUUGUGAACGUUUUAUAGUAAAAAUAGGUGCAAAGAGUGGGAAAAGCAAUGCAAAAUCAGCUCUUCCAUUGGAUUUUGCAAACCCUAGGUUGCAAACUAAUAAUUUAGCAACCUAUGAGUUGCAAAGCUAGUGAAACUGCCCCAUUUUGCAACCAUGACCAGAUGCCUCUUUUAAGUUUGCAACCCUGCAUUGUGAACGAAGGUUACAAAACCACUUUUAAACCUCACCAAGCCUCUCUUUACAUUCUCUUUUCAUCUUUCUCUCAUUUUACUCUCUUCCCUCCAUGACAGUGCAUUCAAACACUCCCAAGAGCUUCCAUCCUCACUACCCAAGCCACCAAGCACAAGAAACCUCUUCACCUUGGAUUUCGCAAAGAUUUGCCGACUAAGAUGGCAUGCAUGCCAACUGAGGAUUGCAAAGUAGAGCCACAAUGAGGGAAGAGUUGACUUUCUCAAGGGAGAUGUAGCAAGCAACCAUGAAAGGGCCUUUCACCUAUAAAUACUCCCCUUCACCAGAAGCAGCAACAAGCAGGUCCAAACAAAUUUUAACAAGCCUUGAGGAACUUUCAGUUAGGAUAGCAGUAGUUAGUGUCGGAAUAAGGGAUACACCAUUGUCUUGGGCUUGCCAAAUUAUUUGAUGUUGUUAGUUUGUUUUAAAUUCAAAACUCUCAUCUUUCAAUUUAUGAAAUAUUAGUUCAAUGCUCUGUUUUAAUUCCUGUUGCAUUACUUUUAAUUUUGAAUUUCAGUCAGUUAAAAGGUGAAAAUUGAGUGUUCCACAGCCAGUGACUUUAAGACUCCCUUUUUGUCUACCUUCCCUAGUUGAGUCUAGAGUGUCUUGUUGUCAUUGUGAUUCCUCAUAGCUUGAAAUGUCUUGAACUAGAAUUGAUGGUGGAGUUAGCCACUGAGACCAAUUCCUUCUUGUUGUCACCAUGAUUUCCCAUUGCUUAAAAUCUCUCAAACGGGAAUGUGAUGGUGUAGUGAGUUAAGGGGUGCAAAGCCUUCUAAUAGCAUGAUCUAGGUCAACUGGAGAAGUGAGUGAUUAUUGAAAAGUAUGACAUCUAUCCAAGGUAUGGGUCACACUACAUGCAUGAAGAUUCACUCAUGUAUGGGUAGCCUCCUUAAUUCGGUUUUUUUUUUUUUUUUUUUUGAUAGAUAAAUUUUUGUCCCUUCUAGGACAUAAACUUGGAACCUCCCAUAAACCCUCCUCAUUCCUUUACCACUUGAGCCAAGCCUCAAGGGCUCCUUAAUUCUUCCUUCCCAGGAUCUCAUUUAAUUUCCAUUCUUCAUUUAAUAUCUUGGUUAUCACUUUAUUUAUUUCCAGUCAAUGAAUUUUUGCCUCUACCAUGAAUAAAUUCCUACCCAAAUCAUUAGGCAUUAUGCUUGAGCUUUCAUUAAACAUAAAUGCUUGGUGAGCUACUAAACCUGAUAAAACAUGACUAGGACUAGGGCAUAGAGAACUACAAUCUUGGUCUCUCCGCUUGAGGAUCUGACUUCUUUUUUACACCAAGACCAUUGUUCAAAUUGAUUGUAACAAAAAGGAAAGAAAAGAAGCAAAAGAAAAAUCACACAAGCAUAGCCCUCAAAGCUUGCUCAAGUGGAAAGAGGUUGGUGGGGAUGGGGAGCUUCCAACUUAGGUUCCAUGCUAAAAGAGAGAAGAAAAUUUUUUUUGAGAAAAAAAAAAAAAAAAAGUGAUAGGCUUCAACAAGAAGGAACAAUAUCAUGGUUUAAAGUUGCGAUAAAGAAGUAUCAUCUCAUUUUUUUUUAAUAUAGCUUGUGGCUCCGGGUUAGAAUAGUAUAGUUUUUUUUGUUCUUUUUAUUUUUCCUCUAAGCUCUGUUCAGUUCCAGGGUUUUCCUUAUCACUUCCUAUCUAUGUGUUACACCACUUUUGGCCCUCUUAUCAAUUUGCUCUAUUUUAUCUUUGCCUGUUAAAGAGAAUAGAAUCUUGAGUUAAGAGAAGAGAAUUUGACGAAAAAUUGCCCUACUCAAAAUAACAGAUUCUGUCAAUUACAUUAACAAAAUAUUUACGAUUACAUCAUCACUUGGAGUAUGAUAAUACAUACAGAAAUUGAUUUUGAAAGCUUGGUCCUUUUUGUGGUUAAUAAUGGACUUUGGGACUCAAAAUGGAAGGGCAAGGAUCAAAAUUCUUAGGAAUUGAACUCGCAAUCAUCCUUCCUUUGUCUACCACUUUAUUGUGCUCAUGCAACAUAGUCUCAAUAAUGAAGACACCAACAUUCCAAUUACAUUUACAGUAACAAUCCUUGACUCCACCAGUGAACCAUGUACUAAUACCAAGACAUCCACUGAUUUAGCAUCACACACAAUUUAAUGACAUGGUUUAAAAUGUCCUUACCUUUCUUGAAGUGAAAAACAAAGGCAGUAUUUCUACAGUAAAUUUUUUCAUACUUAAAUGUAAUGACCAUAGAGAGACCACAACAUACAUUUAUAACAUGGAUAAAAAGAGCAAAGCCAAUAACAGCUACAAGCCACCAAUAAGGAAAUAAUGAGGAAAACAGACUUCAUUGACAGAUGUGGAUAAGAAAUUUGAAUUCAAAGCUGGGAUUAGACAGGAAAUGGUAUGGGAAGGAACACAAAUGCACAGACUUACCACAAUGAAGGCAACUAAAAAUAUUUACUACCUUCCUCAAAAUACAAAGUUCUAGAACAGUCUAUGGUUCAUACUGUCUAGUUGUCCAAAAACUCAAGAUAGCAAGUUUAAAAUUUGAAUUACCUGGAUUAGUAUAUCAAUGGCUGGAAGAGUUGAAAGCAGGCCUCUAUCAUUAACAUUUCCAACAAUCAAAUCAAGAAGUUUAGCAACACUAGAAGCAUGCAUACUUAAGAACUCAGUUCCGCCCAAAAUUAUGUAACCCUCAGUGAUAUGAACAGCGACCUGAAACCAAUUUCAAGUUAAGGUGUGAUACACAGAAGUCAAAAAAAUGCAACAAUUAAAGAGGCAAAUCACAAAAUAUAUAGAGAUAAUCAUCUACAGCCAGCAGCAAAUCCUCCAGUAAAUUACCAUCCAGCUUAAUUAUAAUAUAUGCAAAAAUGCUGAAAGAGCAAAGCCCUAUAACCAAUAGAUAUGACAAUAAUGAUGAAAGCAGGAUAAAGAAAGUACAACUACAAGGAUGUUGGCUAUGAGAAACUAAAAGCUUGUUUGAUCAAAUUGUUAGAAAAUAGUCUAGGUUGUUCUGAAACGACUUUAUCAUAUCCUGAGAUGCAUCUGGAAGUAACAUAAGAACCUACUCUUUAGAAUUUGACAUCCCCAAAGGUAAGUAAGUGCAGGUUCAGAUUUCAUAUCAACUUAAGAACCAAAGUAAAUAGUUGGCUGCAAAUGCAAUAAACCCUAAUGUUUCAUUUACCAUCAAACCAUAAAGAUUUGGUGGAAUUUAUUUAGAACUUUUUUCUAGUCAGGAAAUAUUGUUCUUAAAGAGUUUCAACUCAACUCAGAAAAGGCCCAGGUUUUUUUUAUAGUAAAAUAUGGAAAAAUCGACUAGAAUAUUGCAAUCACACCAACAUGAGUUACUAAUUUUUUUUUUUUGGUAAAUACUAAAGCUCAGAGCUUUUACAAAACCUCAAUUUGAAUGUUCACACUCGUGUCGUCUAAAAAUGGAUCAUAUACCAUAAACAUGGUAGCAAGCUCAUAUGAGCAAUCCACCAACAGGUUUUCUAAUCCCUAAACCCUGACUUAUCACUGUCUAUCACAUAUUUGUUUGGAGCAUCAAGCCCUUGGAAUAUGACUGCAGAGAUGCAUCUAUAGAGAUGGUUAGAGGGUAUGCAACCAUGUUAGAGAUGGUUUGGAGGAAAAAUCAAGCCAAGGAAGCAAGGUGACACAAUUUAGAAGCAAUACUCAAGAGUUGGAAUUAAAUUAUGGACUAUCUUCCAUUAGUUUUUGAUGAUUGUAAGUAUGGUUUUGAAGCUUAAGAAUUCAGAAAUUCAGUGCAUCAAAAGGUGUGUGAAUCGGAGUUGAAAUGAGAGAGAUACGACCAUUUGAAACAGAGCUACACAAAGUUCAAAGUCCAAUUUGAAAAUUUAGAAUCCAACCAUGCAAGGAGAGAGAUUUGGAACUCUUUCAAUUCUUCUUCAAUAAAGCUUUAGUUUUUCUUUCGUUUCUUUUCCAUUCUUUUCUAAUUGAUUUUCUUGGCAACCAAACAUGGUUUGUAAGUAGAAAUCCUCCACCAUGUUUGACUAGUAUGUGAUUCAAAGAAAGAAGCAAGGGAGAUGGAUAACCCAUAUGAGGAAUGUGUUGAAGGAUGAUAAACUUUAAACCUAAACUCUUUAAUUUUCCAUUUUCAUUAUGAUUGAAUGAUGCUUAACUUGGUUUGAAUGAUGCUUGAUCACCUUUUGAUCAUUAGAUAACUCCUUGUGAUUGAUUCUAAGUAAUUUCUCUCAAUUAAGUGAUAAUCAAUGCUUAGCUUGGUUUGAAUGAUGCUUGAUCGCCUCUUAAUUGAUUGCAUACAAGAUUGAGAUGAAUCUCAUGAAUGAAUCUAAGACUUGAAUGUCAAAACGAGAAAUAAAGAUUAGGGCUGAUUUAAAAUACUUUUGAGAUCUAAAUUAAAUUGUCAAAUCAAAGUUCCAAUUUAAAUUUGAUCUUAAGAUGAUGCGGUUUAAUCUUGGAUCGACUCUUUGAUCCUCAAAGUAGAAAAAAGAUUACUCGCUCUCAAAGAUUUAAAAUAAAACUUGUGAUCCUCUGGAUUUUUUUUUUUUUUUUUUUUUUUUAAGCUUUCAUUCAACAUUUUAGCAAUCAUAUUUCAUUCUUGUUCAUUUAAAAUAGGAUUUUGUUUAGGUAAAGCAAAUAAUUGAUUUUUUAACCUAAAAGCAACCAAACACAACAGUGUUGAUCCCAAAAGAUGACAACCUGUAUACUAUAAGCCACCUAAAAGCAACCAAACACAUUAGUGUUGAUCCCAGAGGAUGACAACCUGGAUCCUACAAGUUGUGAUAAUUCUAUUUUUUUAUCAGGGUUAUCACAUAUUUUAGGCUUUAGUAAUUUAUUAGAACAAAGAUUUGUGGUCAUACAUGCACACAAAUAUGGAGAGGUGGUUACUUAUUCAACCCAAUUCCUAAUCUAACUGGAUUUGAGCAUUAAAACUUCCAAAUCACACCUUCAGACUUGGUCCAUCAAUUAAUCUAGACAUCUCCCUGGCAUUUUCAUGCAUUUACUUGUUGGUAGUUGGCAAUUUUGAUUGUAAAAUAGCUUUAGUUCACAGAACUUUCAAAUGAACAUCAAAUUGUACAUAUUUUAAGACUCUGACAGCAGACAUAUGCAACAGAAAAUGAAGUGAUCAAUCUGCAAAAGCCUGACCUGCAAGUGAUCAAAACUUCUUUCAAUGACUUCCACUAAACAAGGGAAGUAUGCUAGUAGUUGAGGCACCAUUGAGGGAGCAUUUGAAAGUAUAGCUUCCCAUAACUGCACAAUUAUAUAAAUUGCCUUUAGCAUAUAUAAAUAUUUCAUGUACAUAUAGAUCUAUUAAAACGUGAUGGCAACCAGUAAAAUAAUCAAGAUCAAACUGGUGGGCUGACCUGCAAGCUGUCCUCCAAAAGAUUCAGUUCGUCUGGACUAUUUAUAUCAAUGCCCUUUUGCAGAAUGGGUAAUAUGAGGUUGUAGCAAAUGGGUGAUUGAAAGCCAAGUGCAGUCACAAAGCUCCGUAGUGCAAUAAGAAGUUGAAUUUGUAGAAGACUUUCACCAGAAGAUUCCUCCCAGACCUUAUCAAAUAUACAGAAAUGAGUACUUUCCUUUAAUGAAAAGAAUGAAUGUUCUAUUUUUUUCCCCUGAUAAUAAACAGCCAAUCACUAUCCUGAAAUACUGCUAAGGUCGCAUUAAGAAUUGACUAUUGUAUCUGUAGGUUGCUUGGGAUGAUCAGCAGAACUUAUGGAACCACACAAAUUCACCAUUGUAGCUCACUUUGUGGUUUAAUAUAUCCAUUUAAUAACUGAGAAAAUACAAAAUCCACCCAACUCAGGCCAAUAAUUCAGCAUGGUAAAAUAAAAUAAUGAUGAAUUUUAAAAUAUGUGCAAACUACAACUCUAAGAAAAAAUCCAACUUUCAAAACACUGAAUUCAAUAAAAUAAAAGAUGUUUGAAACAUAUAAAAAAGGAAAAAAAAAAUCAUAACUAGGAUGUUUACUAGCAAGAAAACUCUAGUGCUAGAGGAACAGAGAAGGAAAUAUUAAUGACAAUCAGAAUUUAGUUAAUAAAAGAGAUUUGGGACUCUAAAAUGCCUCCUAAGGGACCAUCCUUUGCCUGGAAGUUGGUGUGGAAAAGAUUUCUAAUGAUAGACCAUUGCAUGAGCCUAUUAAGCGUGCUUGGACUUUAGUUAAAUUUGCUGCCCAUGCUAAUAAAAAGAGAGCAAGUUCCUUCUUGUGAAAGUAGGCAUUAGAUAUUAACACUUAAGUGAAAAAGAUAGAAGUAAAAACAAUUGAUACAUUACCUUUUGAAAAAAUUGCACCAACUUGUCGGCAAAUGUAAUGACUUCAUUUCCUCUUCCAAUAAGAGUAGAGAUCAAAUUCAAAACCUGAACCUGAAUAUAAAUGAAUGGAACUUGUCAAAAAGGCUGCUUAUCAGGAAAAGAUCUAUUUAUAAAUAAAAAAUAAAUUAAAAAAAGAGAGAUUCAUCAUCGAAUAACAAAUUAUCCAAAUUAAAAUUUUUUCAUUCUAUUCCAAAUCCAAUCCAUUGUUUGUUUCUGUACAUUAACAGGACAGGAAGCACCACUAAUAGAUACCAUAUACACCAGUUAACAAGCAAUUUGAUUAGUUAGUAUGGUGUUGUAGAGAUGAGAAAGACUCCACUCAUUCACAAAAUAAAAAGUGGGAUGGAUAGUUAGUGCACAUAAAGAGUAGACCAAAAUUCUGGAAAUUUUAUUUAGCGUUGAUAACACUGAUGAAAUAGUCCAUCUGGACAAUCUGCACAGUAAUCACAAAGAAGUUUAAGGAUCUAUAUAAUUUAUUCACAGUUGAUUCAGCCAAUACUAUGAACCUGCAUUUAACAGAGAGCAUUGAAAAUUUACAAAAUUGUGAACAAUAACAGUCAACUCAACAACAUAGCUCUGAAAUUACACAUGCAGGACAAAUCAACAUAGAGAAUAAACAACACAGAUCAGCACAGAUGUUUGGACAACCCCCCAAAUGGUAGUCUGAAUCAUAAUUUUCUAUGUUUGCCCAAUAGGCAAUAUGGGAUCAAUGAUGAUUGGUGGGGUCAUGAAAAAAAUUCAGAUUGCAAUUUUUUUUUUUUUUUUCAAUCAGAAACAAAAGAUUUAUUAAUUAUAGAAAAGGUACAAGGGAAGGAUGAGAGGUCCUCCCCCACAAAAUACAUGAUACUAAUCAAAAUAAGACUAAACACCUCCACUACACAAGGAGAACUAUACACAAAGGCAUAGGCUACUUAAAGGAUAUACAAAUCCCCUCAAAACCGGACUCAAUUCCUCUAUGUUUGCCCAAUAGGCAAUAUGGGAUCAAUGAUGAUUGGUGGGGUCAUAAAAAAAUUCAGAUUGCAAUUUUUAUUUUUUUUUCAAUCAGAAACAAAAGAUAUAUUAAUUAUAAAAAAGGUACAAGGGAAGGAUGAGAGGUCCUCCCCCACAAAAUACAUAAUACUAAUCAAAAUAAGACUUAAAAACCUCCACUACACAAGGAGAACUAUACACAAAGGCAUAGGCUACUUAAAGGAUAUACAAAUCUCCUCAAAACCGGGCUCAAUUCCUCUCAAUGUUAUCCUCCCCCCUCCCUCUUCAAAAGCUAACCAAAUUGAAUAACUUUAAGUGUAACACCUUUAAGGUGAUAAUACAAGAGGCCCACAAGGAGGAAUAAAAAUGAAGUAGAUCUCAUAUCAUCUCUUCCAUUCUCCCCUUUUUCUCAAAGAUCCUAGUAUUUUCCUCUUGUCACACAAUUCAAAGCAUAGUGAGGCAUACAAUUUGCCAAAGGGCCUUGCCUUUGAUGGAACUCCCCAAACAUCUAAAUGAGAUGGUCAUCAUAUCACAUAUACUCCUAGGUGGAACCCAAUCCAUCUUGGCUAGACCGAAAAUCUUAUGUCAAAGCCCAAAUGUUAAUGGGGCAAUGUAGAAAAAGAUAGUUGAUUCAUUCCCCACUUCCCAUGCAUAAAAUGCACCAACAGAAACUAACAAAGCUUAUAAGGUCUUCUCAACUAUAGCAUGUCAUUGGUGUUUACCUUCUUGUGCACUAUUAACCAAGCAAAAGCCUAAACCUUUGAAGGGGCUUUUGAUUUCAAUAAAAAUUUGGCUGCAAAGAAUGGGAUUGGAUAAUAACUCCAACAAGGCGAAGAAAACUUUUUUUUACUGAGAAUGAACUUGAAGAAGACAAAGACCAAGCUCUUGAAUAUGCGGCAAAAGGAGACAAGUGCACAGAAGAGAGUGAUGACAUGAAUCUUUCAAGGUUUUCAAUUUCCAUGGCAAUAAGAUUACGAUAGAAGUUAAGGUUCCAAGAAGGUGAAAAGGAAUUACCAAGGAGGACUAAUAUGGUGAGAUUUUUUUUUUUGAAAACCAAGGAACCUUCCAUGGUCAGGCCCUUAGGACUCCCCAUGCGGACCCAAACCUCGGGGUGCUAAUCACCUCGAAACAACCAACGCCAGAUAAAUUUAGGGUAUCAUUAGUGGCGGGAUUCGAACCCAGGACCAUGUGCCACUUAUUGGGACCACACUUCCUAGUGUUCGUCCUAACCAAAUGGCCUACCCUGGCAGGUCUGAUAUGGUGAGAUUUUUAACUAUGAUAACUCUAUAAAGACCUUAAAAUUGAGAACACAAUGGUUUAUUUCCCCACCACAAAUCUUCCUAGAAAUGAAUUCUCUCCAAAUCACCCACCACAAAGCAAGUAUAUGAAGAAAAGCCUUAAAAAACUUGUGCAAUAACCUUCCAAGGGCACCUAUGUGACCAUCUAACCAAAAUGUUGGCAUCCCAUCCAUUAGAAUGUGUUCCAUAAAUGCUCAAAAUAACCCAAUGUCAAAGGUCAUAAUUAUCCCUAUAGAACCUCCAAAGCCAUUUCCCUAAAAGACCACGAUUUCUCGUAAAGUCUCCAAUCCUUAAACCUCCUUACUUCUUUGGCCAACACACAAUGUCCAAUUGAUAAGAUGAUCAUUUUUACUCUCCUCAAUCUUGACCAAAUAAAAUCCCUUUGCACUUUCUUAAUCUUUAAGGUUACUGAUGUUGGAAUCUUGAAAAGAGAUAAGAAAUAGCCAGGGAUGUGAGAUAAGCAUGACUAGAUUAGAAUUAUCCCCCCCGACGCAAAGACAAAAAGGCCUUUUUCCACCCAUCUAGUCUCCUCGAGAUUCUAUCAACCACUAGAUCCCAAAAUCCACUUGCUUUCAAAUCCCCUCCUAAAGAAAGACCCAAAUAAGAUAAAGGUCAUCUUGAAACUUUACAGUCAAGCAUCAAAGUCAACCUAGAUACUAGAUCCUGGCUUAUUAUUUUAAUAGAAAAAGAGUGUUCAUCUCCAAAUUGAUCUUAAGCCUUGAUAUUUGCCCAAAAACUAAAAGGAUUAGCUUGAGGUUUAGCAGAAUUUCCGAAAAGGCUUCAGCAAAGAAAAUGGUAUCAUUUGCAAAUUGUAAAAGAGACUCUAAUCUUAUCACUACCCACUAUGAAACCCUUUAAUAAACUACUUUCCUUUGCUUUAAUCAUCAUCCUACUUAGGAUAUCCACUACAAUGGUGGAAAUGAAAGGAGAAAAAGGAUCUCUUUGUCUUAAACCUCUAGUUGCCUUCACCUAACCUUUGGCAUUUCCAUUUACUAUGAUAGCAAAACUCGUCAACGACAAGCAACCCCUCAUUCAAGAUCUCCAUUUUGUAUUGAAACCUUUUCUCUUUAGCAAAUGAUCUAAAAAACCUUGGUUCACAUCGUAGGCCUUUUCAAAAUUUAUUUUGAAUACUAGCCCUUCCUCCCCUAAAUACCUUUUCUCGUUUACCACUUCAUUGGCAAUCAAAACACCAUCCAAAAUUUGUCUCCCCUCAACAAAGGCUCCUUAGGAAAUGUAGAUGGUUUCAUGGAGAACUCUAUUUAAGUGCCCUAAUAAGACCUUAGCUAUAAUCUUAUACAAACCUUAUCUCAAGCAAACUUAAUAUACAUUGUUGGCCUAUUACCUAACAGAGUAAGCAUUUGAGUCAAUUGAUAACUUAACAGAGAAUUCUCCAAAGACACAUGGAUUGGUUGGUUGUUAAGGUUGAUGUCCUAAUUUGAUAGUAGGUUUGAAUGAGGUAGUUGAUUUUGGUUGUAGUAAUCUUCGAAUGGAAGAGGAUUCAGCCAUUGUUCUCUUGAGUGUCUUGGGACAAGUUAAGGCUCCAAAAAUUGGACUCUCGGAUUUUCAAGUGCAUUGAUCUUUCAAGGGACAUGGGUUGCUCAUUCACCUAAAAACCUAGGUUGCCUAAUUAGGAUGACAUUUAUGUAGGAUUAACCUUAAGGAGGUUGUUUAUAAUCAAACAAUUAAAAUAGAAGGUGGAUUUAAAGAAAUUGUUCAUGAGUUAUCAAUAGGCAAAACACAAACUAAACCGUAUGACAAUCAAAAAAGAAGUUAAACAAAGAAUGCUCAACCAUGGUUAUUGGGACCAAGUAGCAAUUUAUGAGCUACUAUACAUAGUUCUUCAAAUCGUGGAUUUAGAAGUUUUUCGCACAAUGCCCUUUAUGUAUGAGUUAGUUUGUGUGAUGAAAACUAACAUCAACCAUUUAAGGUCUACAUCUUAGAUGUUAAACAUUAUCAAUGAAAGUUGGGAUAAAACACCAAGUCAUCCACUUCAUUCAACAAGUAAUUCUAUUUACUACUAAAUUAUUAACUACCAUCCAUCUCAAUCUUUUGUGAGUUUCGAACAUAAUCACAUAUUAACUUUCUCCUAAGAGUCCUAAUUGUAUUUAACUUUUGUAGCAUACUUCCUCAACCCAAAAUUCCAACUCAAAGAUGGGGUUAAUAGAGAUCCCCUACUACUUCAAGUCAUCCAUGACAUAUUUACCACAUUAAACCCACCCUGCUACUAAAGCCCUUCCUCGAUUUGGAAAUGAGGGAACUUUGAUAGUGUUACAUUACAAACUCAUUCAAAUUACAAUUUCCUUUGUCAUUUUACUUUCAAAUUAGCUAAAUGUUUGAUAUUAUCAUAUUGAAUGUGUAGUUUCCAUUUUUUUGAGAUGUCAAGAAAGGAUUCGAUGAUCGAGUUGCAAUCGCAACAAGGAUAGAAAUGGAUUUGGAUGAGUACUUUUGUCAAUAGAAAAAAUAGAAUGCUAAAAUCAAAAUACUUUGAUUAUCAUUCUUGUACUAAUGUAUGUAUUCAUGACAUUUAUUUGUUUGUAGUUGAAUAGUGGCGAUUCAUGUAGAAGAACAAUAACCUAUAUUAAGGAAUUUGGCUAUUCUAAUCCUAUCACAAACUACAUCAUCUUCAACCUACAAGAGAAAUUAGAGCAUAUUUGCCCUAACCCACACAAAAUAACGGGAUCAUCUCGCCUACUCUAAGCUUCAAUAAUUAGUUUUUUGUUAUUAGAACAUGAACCUAAAGUUAUGAGAUAUGGACGUAGAAAAUGAUAAAGUUGCAAAAAAAAAUAAUUCAUUGAUAUGCUAGACAAUUCAACUAAGAAAAAAUAAGAAGAGUACAAUCAGAUGUUCUAGUGAAUCAGACCCGCACACUUAGAUGAUAACAACAGAAAUCCCGACCCACAAAAUUGCCUCACAUGUUCGUGAUUCAAGUUUUGAUGUUGAAAGAGUGUUGUUUGAAGAAGUUCAUAGUGAAAGUCAAAGCAACACACGACAGAUUCAUUUUAGUAAGCGAUGCAACCAUCCACACAACUUCCUUAUGUUAGUGUUUUUUUUUUUUUGAUCAGUAAGUAAUAUAUGUAUUGAUAAAGAGACGCUAAAGAAGCGACUCAAAUAGUUACAGUAUAGAAAAAACGACUCACCCCCUUACAAAAGAACCCACCCCUCUAUGAAAGCACAAAAAACCCUCUUCUUUAAUACAUGCACACCCAAUCUAUAAAAUCUAAUAAGGUCGAAGGACCAUCUUUUAUCCACACUUUGGUUUCCGACCAUAGCAAAUACACAAAGGAAAUUUUCAGCUUUUGUAUAGAUAGCACCCCGUCCUCAAAAGCAAUUGAAUUUCUAGCCUUCCAAAUGACCCAAAACAAGCAUAAUGGUCCCAAAAGCCACGUCACCUUCCUCUUCUUACCCAUAAUGGAACCUCUCCAACCUAUUAGAGUUUCCUUAACCGAAUGCGGAAAAACCCAAGAGACUCCAAAAAAAGAGAUUUUGAUUGACAUGAGUAUCUUCCCUCUAACUUCCUCUACUAAAACCUCAAACGCCAUGAGUACUUCUGGUUCUAAUUAUGAUUCCUAAAGAGGAGGGGAAGCUAAUGAUGGAGAUGAUGAUGAGGAUGGAAAUGAUCGAGAGGAUGUUGGACAACAAUCUAAAUGUCAAUAUCUAUUGAGCACAUUUACUAGUGCAACCAAUUUCACAUGCUGCAUGUAAGAAGAAGACCAUGGCUCUAGAAGAGUUAGUCCAAGCAUGGUAGCUAUUUCAAAAAGUCAUCUAAAGGGAGGAGACAACAAAGGAUGGCAGCAUUUGAUGAGAACUUCUUUUCUGGCAGCUUUGAGCCCAUGAGUAUAUAGACUCGACAUAGUGACUCAUCAAAUGAGGUUAACGUUUAUCCUCCUCAUGUAAUGAGUUAUGGCCAACCUUACCCAAAUUAUGUAAUGGGUUAGAGUUCAACAUCUCAUGACUAUCAUAUAUUUAACUAUCCUUCUACAUAAAUGCCAUAUGAUGUUCCAGAUCAGAUGCAAGGAGGAUUUCAAACAAGUGCAUAAGUGAACUCCAAGUUUCCAUCCAUGAAGAGGUGAUGGGCAAGACUCAAGAGACCUAUGCAUGACAUGUUCGUAAUUACAAUCAACAUUAUGCAAACUAUAUGUCAUGAUAUCAAAAUUAUCUCCAUCAAGAUAUGAUUCCUUCAUUCUCCAGUGUCAUGGCACCACAUUGGUCUUCAUUUUAGUAUCAAAAGGAACCAUUACAACAUAUUUUGUAAAAACUGUUGACAUUUAAUGGGAUCAAAUAUUUACUCCAGAUUAAUAUUAAAUGCACACUCUGAAAAUACAUAUUUCUUAGCAGCACGUAUGAAAUUAUCGUCUAAUAUCAUAAAUUAUAGCAUAAAUACAUUGUUCUCUUCGAUAAAACAAUUUUAAUGCAUAUUAUUACUUCUUUAUUAUUUAUUGGAGUUUUUACCAACAUUUUUGAGUUUUGAUCAAUUUCCAUCCCACCACUCUAAAAAUACAUGAUUGAUAAAUUCUCUAUUGCCUUGCAGAUGACACGCCACUUCAGACUAAAAGCUUUGUAAGGCUUUCUUAGCCUUUACUUUUAGUGGAGCUUUGGAUUUUUCAAAUGAAAUUUGCCAGAAUACAAGGAAUGAAAUUGGUGAAAGAAGAUAUGGCAUUAGAGAAGAAACUAACUAAGAACUUUGAGAAAGAACUAGUUGAGAACAACUAGGCAAUACUCUUCAAACUAAAGUAUAUGGCUACAAACCAGAAAAAAACAAGAAAUAAAAAUAAUGAAUCCAUGGAAAAUAUCAUUGAUUAUUACACAUUUAUUCGAGUAUUUCAUUGCAUAUAGUUCCAUAUUCUACACAUCUUAUUUGAAAAACAAAAUAUAUUCUAAGAAAUUUGCAACUAAUAAGGUGUGUCCAUUGUGAUAUUUUAGAAUAUGCACACCAUUCUCAUGCAAUUCAUUUCAAUGCUGAAAAUAAGGCAUGGGGAACAACUUUUUGCACUGAUUUUUUUCCAUAGUAAAACCACACUAGCCAUACACAUGAAAAUGCAAUAAAAAAACAUAAACCAUCAUAUGUAAUAACUGUAUUAGAAUUGGAAAAGGGUCAUGCUGUUAAGAGAGAGAGCGAGAGAGUGCGAGAGCGAGGGUGAGGGCGAUGGCGACGAGGGAGAUAACCAAACGGAGAAACGGAGGAAACGGCAAGGAAAGAGUUUCGGGGUGGAAUCAAAGGUCUUUGAAGUAGAGUUGGAGAAGAGAAGAGGUAAAACCCUACUCUUCAUUGUGGAAAGCAAAAGAGGGGUUUUUUCAUGGGUUAGAUUGGGGCCGGCAAGCGCUGGGAUUUUUCUGGAAGGGUUGGACCAGUGCGUUAAGGAUGGGAAAGACGACAAAUGGGAGAAGGGUUGGAAGGAAAAGGGGAGAAGUUACUCCAUGGUGCGCGAAGUCAACAAGGCGGGGAGCUUUAUCCGAUUAGGGGUUGUAGAUGCGGAGGAGAAAAGAUACAACAUUUGUAUCCCGAGAGGCAGAGGGGGAAGGGAGGGAUGGUCAGCUAUGGUAGAGGUUGUACGGGAUUUGAUCGCGAGGAUUGACAGAAGGGAGGAAAAAAAGGAAGAGUAGAUCCCUGAAAGAAUGCAAGCUGAAAUGGGGAAGAGAUGGGGGAAUAGGGAUCGUCUUUUGGUCAGAAUGGAGGUAGAGGGAGAGAAAAUUAGCAGGAAUGUGAAUAGAUUGGAGCACUGCUUAGUCGAAAAAUGGAACCCUAGGGUAGCAGGAGGAGAGGAUCUGGCGAGGUUGGGGUGGCUGAUGGCGAGCGUUUGGGGGCUGAAAGGGAAGCUUGGUUUGGCUUGGAUGGAAGAGGGUCAGGCCCUCUUAGAGUUCGAACUUGCGGUAGAAGCCAGGAAAGUUAUUGCCGCCAGGAAAAGGUCGGUGGGUAGGAUUCAGGUUGAACUGGAGCUUUGGAGUCCAAGUCUCGGGUGUUUGGAAGAAGGGGAAAUAAGAGAAGAAGUUUGGGUGAGGGUUAAGGGCUUGCCAUUAUCGCUCUGGGUCCCGACCAUUCUGCGAAGGGUGGGGGAUGAGUGCGGUGGCUUUGUAGCCAUGGAUCCUUCGACGGAAAAAAUGGAAAACCUCCGGUGGGCUAGGAUCUUGGUGAAAACAAAGAGAGGUGAGUUGCCAAGUUCAUUAGUAAUUGGAGUCGAAGGGAUUUAUUAUAACCUUCCUCUUUGGUGGGAGGUGCUGCCAUCGAUUAGACAAAAGCCGGAGGGUCACCGGGGCUCAAUAGAUCGUGGCAGAGGAGAGGUCAAGGGCGACGGAGGCGCACGCACUGGCCGGCGAGUGGAAAAGUGGGGUAGCGCAGGGCUCGAGGCGCUAUCACGAACAGCUAACGGGAUGGAAGGGCAAAUGGAUGGGACGGGUAAGGUUUCAUCUGUGGGCCGGAUCCAAUUCGGGUAGAUGAUCCGGCCCUUAGUGGGUGGGACGGAAGAUGGACCGCCCUUGGUUGGGCUUACUGAGAACAAUCUGGGCUUGAGGAGGGCUGAGAGGCCUAGUCCGCAAAUCUUCUCUGAAGGAGUAAUUUCAAAAGGGGCUGGAGUUGGUGGGGUUGGGCCUGCGGUUGGGUCGAAAGGUUCUAAAGGAAAGGAGAAGGUCUCAGAGGAGGAGUUUAGGCCACGAUUUGGGCCUAAUAUGGUCUAAAGAAAGAGCAGCGGGCCGUUAUUGAGCCACUUUAAGGAUCCUGGGGUGCAGCCUGGUGGGCCUUCAGUCACGAGGAGAAAAGGCCCGGUAGAGGUUCAGUUUAAUAAAGGCCCGGUGGGGAUCUUAGCCCAACCUGGGCCUUGUGGAGAAGCCAAUUUUGAGCUGGAGUUUCUAAGUGUGCGGGAAAAGGAAGUUGAGAGAGUCCAGCAAGUAGACUUCCACUUCUUGUUGACAGACAGUGCCCUAGUGGAAGAAGUCUCGAGGUAUGGGUCUCUUUCAAUCUUAGGGGGUUUAAGGGACUCGGGGACUCCUUUUCAUUCUUCUUUGUUUUCGCUUGGUCGGACUCCAGAGGGGGAGUUCUUUGAUCUUUCUGGGGUGUUAAGGGAGACGUGCCAGAAUGGAAGUGUGUCAAAUUGUCAAGACGCUGCUAGGCCUAGUGAGAAUGGCAAUGACUACUGGGAGUUGGUUGAGUUUAAUGGUCCUAUCUCAAUGGCAAGGGAUUUGGAGGGGGGGUCAUCCCAAUAUGAGUUCCAAGAAGGAAGGGGGGAAGGGGCCCUGAAUCGGCAAGAAAGUAGCCUAGUAAGGUUCAACCAAUUCCUGGGAUUUUCGACUGAAUGACUGGAAAAGGACAUAUUAAGUUUCUUGGUCAAAAUCAGGAAAAGGAGGGAAAAGAUCCACAGCAAAGGACUACUGGAAAAAUCGAGAUUUGAAAGGGAGUUAAAGAGAUUGGAAUGCUUAGUCAACUAUGAGGGGGAUGGUAGAAGGAAAUGUCCUCUUCAGGGCAAAGGGGUGCAGUCAGUGGUUGUCCAAUGAACCUCAAGCUGUUGAGUUGGAAUGUGAGGGGAGCGCACGAAAGCACGAAAAGGAAAGUAAUUAAAUCGGUAAUCAGGAAGCAGAAGGUGGAUUUGUUCUGCAUUCAGGAGACAAAAGUUCAAGUUAUGUCUGACAGGGUGGUGAGUAGUUUAGGGUCUGGAAGAUUCUUAGAUUGGAAGGCCUUGGAUGCUUGUGGUUCGGCUGGAGGUAUUUUGAUUUGUUGGGAUAAAAGAGUUCUGGAUUUGUUGGAGUAGGAGGAGGGGCAAUUUUCGUUAUCCUGCAGAUUCAGAAAAGUGGAUAAUGGGGUGAUUUGGGUAUUCACGGGUGUUUAUGGCCCGUUUACCAGAGUUGAGAGGGAGUGUUUGUGGAAAGAAAUUGGGGCGGUUAGAGGAAUUUGGGAGGGGCCUUGGUGCCUUGGGGGUGACUUCAACAUCAUCCUCUCUCAAAGUGAAAGGAGCAGGUAAGGGAGAAUAACCUCAGCUAUGAGGAGGUUUGCGCAAGUCGUAGACAAGCUAGGCCUCGUGGUCUUACAACUACAAGGGAGAGCUUUCACGUGGAGUGGGGGUCUGAAUAGCCAAUCAAGGGCUAGGCUAGAUAGAUUUCUGGUAACUCCUUGCUAGCUUGACUAGUUUAGUAGGGUGAGACAACGAAGGUUGCCUAGGCCGACCUCGGAUCAUUUCCGAGUGUUACUUGAGGGGGGUUGCCUUAGAAGAGGGUCUGCCCCUUUCAGAUUCGAAAACAUAUGGUUCAAAGUCGAGGGGUUCAAAGAUUUAAUCUGUAAUUGGUGGAGGGGGAUAGAGGUCAGUGGUAGCACCAGCUUUAGAUUGUCUGCAAAACUGAAGGAGUUGAAGUAGAAGCUUAAAGUUUGGAAUAGGGAGGUGUUCGGGAAUCUGGAAUGUAACAAGGAGGCAGCGCUCCAACAAGUGGAGUAUUGGGAUAGGGUGGAAGGUGAGAGAAGUUUGACAGUGGAGGAAUUAGCUUGUAAGAAGGAAGCCAAGGAGGGAUAUGCCAAGUGGGUAGAUCUGGAAGAAACACAUUGGAGACAGGCGUCACGGGAAUUAUGGUUAAAGGCAGGGGAUAGAAACACGGGAUAUUUCCACCGAAUGGCUUUUGCUCAUAGAAGAGCCAACUACAUGGACAGAAUUAAAAUAAAUGGGGUAAGGCUAAUAGAGGAGCGAGAAAUUAAGGGGUAAUGAAUGCCUUUCAACAGCAGUUUUCAGAAAGUUCAGAGUGGAGGGCAAACAUUGGAAGCCUUCAAUUUAAUCAAAUCUGUUUGCAAAAAGCGGAGAUGUUGGAGCUCCCCUUCAUUGAGGGUGAGGUCCAGGCGGCUUUGAUGGAUAUGAAUGGGGAUAAAGCCCCAAGCCCUGACGGUUUCACUUUGUUAUUCUGGCAAAGUUGUUGGGAAUUUGUAAAGGAGGAAAUUUUAGAGAUGUUCAAGGAGUUUUAUGACCAGAAUGUUUUCCUCAAGAGUCUCAACAAUACCUUUCUGGUGUUGUUACCAAAGAAAGGAGGGGCCGAGGAACUAGGGGACUUUAGACCCAUCAGCCUUUUAGGGGGGCUCUAUAAGCUGUUGGCUAAGGUGUUGGCCAACAGGCUUAAGAAAGUGAUAGGAAAAGUGGUCUUCCCUUAUCAGAACGCGUUUGCCACGAAAAGACAGAUUCUAGAUGCCUCUCUUAUAGUAAAUGAAGUGAUUGACGCAUGGAAUAAAAGGGGUGAGAAUGGGUUAAUCUGUAAGCUAGAUAUUGAGAAGGCCUAUGAUAGUAUUAAUUGGCAGUUCCUGUUGAAGGUUAUGGAAAAAAUGGGGUUUGGCUCAAAGUGGCUGAGGUGGAUGUGGUGGUGUAUCUCCACUGCUAAAUUCUCAGUCAUGGUGAACGGAGCCCCAGCUGGUUUCUUCUCUAGCUCAAAAGGGUUGCAUCAAGGGGACCCCCUGUCCCCCUCUCUUUUUGUCAUGGGGAUGGAAGUGUUGAGCGUUCUAAUCAGAAGGGCUAUGGAAGGGGGAUUUAUUUCAGGGUGUAAAAUUCAGCGCGGUAGAGGGCGGGCUGUCCAAGUUGCUCAUUUGCUCUUUGCUGAUGACACAAUCGUUUUUUGUGAGGCAAAGAAGGAGCACUUAACGAAUUUGAGUUGGAUUCUGUUUUGGUUUGAAACCGCUUCAGGGUUAAGAAUCAAUUUGGCUAAAAGUGAGAUCAUUCCAAUAGGGGAGGUGGAAGAGGUGGAUGAGUUGGCUGUGGAGUUAGGGUGUAGGGUGGGGAAGCUGCCUGUAGUGUACUUGGGGCUGCCUCUGGGGGUGUCAAAUAAGGCUGUCUCUAGGUGGGAUGGGGUAGAAGAGAAAGUGAGAAGGAGAUUUGCCCUUUGGAAAAGUCAAUAUAUCUCAAAGGGCGGGAGAAUCACUCUAAUUAAGAGCACAAUGGCAAGCAUGUCAGUGUAUCAGAUGUUCCUCUUUCGAAUGCCCAUUUCUAUGGCAAGGAGAUUAGAAAAACUGCAAAGAGAUUUUUUUUUGGGGGGGAGGAGGGGAACUUGGAGAGGAAAGCUCAUCUUGUCAAUUGGGAGAUGGUGUGUGGGGAUAAGGAGAAAGGGGGGCUUGGAAUAAGGAAGCUAACCCUUGUGAAUAAAGCUUUACUUGGCAAAUGGAUUUGGAGAUUCGCUUGUGAUAAGAAGGUUCUAUGGAAGCAAAUGCUGGUGGCAAAGUAUGGCCAAGAGGACUACGGUUGGAGGACCAAAAAGGUUGUGGGUGCGUUUGGGGUGGGGGUUUGGAAGGAGAUUUUAAAGGAAGUUGGCUGGUGCUGAGAAAACUUGGCAUUCAAAGUGGGAAAAGGUAAUAAAAUUAGGUUCUGGACUGACACUUGGUGUAGGGAUAUAGUGUUGUCCCAAAGGUUCUCGCACCUCUACAUCUUGGCAGCUCAUAGAAACGCGACAGUUGAAGAAAUGUGGAACCAGAAUUUUGGAGAAGGGGGCUGAAAUUUGAGAUUUAUUAGGGAUUUUAAUGAUUGGGAGGUGGAGAUGGUAGGCAAUUUGCUCCAGGAGUUGAGGGGAUUAAGGAUUACUUGGGAGGAAGAUUCGGUUUUUUGGAAGGAAGGGGGAAGUGGGCAGUUUAGUGUGAAGGAAGCGUACAGCCGGUUGGAUAGGCCUCUGGAGGUCGUCUUCCCAAAAAAAAAAAUUUGGGUGGAGAGAGUUCCAACUAAAAUUAUGUUUUUUGCGUGGGAAGCCACUUGGGAGAAGAUAUUGACUCUUAAUAAGCUUCAGAAAAGAGGAUGGCAGCUUCCCAACCGCUGUUUUUUGUGUGCUUGUGAAGCGGAAAAUGUGAACCACAUCCUUAUUCAUUGUACAAUGGCCAGAGUGUUGUGGGAUUUAGUUUUGGGAUUAGUUAGGGUUCAGUGGGUUUUUCCUAAAACUGUAAAGGAGGUUUUAUAUAGUUGGGGGGUGCUUUUGUGGGGAAAAAAAGGAAAAAGCUUUGGAAUUCCAUUCCGUUAUUUAUUUUUUGGACGGUUUGGAAGGAAAUGAAUAGACUAGCUUUUAGGGGGAGAGAGUUAGCAAUUCAGAGGUUUAAAUAUUCUUUUUUAUGUAACAUUUGGGGUUGGGCUAAAUUGUAUAUGGGUGAGGAGCCGCAUUCCCUUAUAGGAUUCAUGGAGUGGUUAGCCUCCAGAUAAGGGGUGGUGAGUUUUUGGUCUUUUUGCUUAUAAGGCCUUAGCUGCCUUGUAUACGUCCUGUAUACUAUGGGGCUUUUUUGCCUUCUUUGAAUGAAGUCUGUGCUUGCUUAUCAAAAAAAAAAAAAAAAAAACAUAAACCAUCAUAGCCAGGAAACGCAGACAUUUAUUUUAUAAGCUAAAAGAUUUUAUAGAUAUUGACAAAGAAAACUGCACAUCAAGGUACACAAGACAUACAAUGGGAACCAAAAGGCUUUUCCAUAAAGAAAGAGAACACAAAAAAAGCUAUGUCGGUUCUGACCUAAUCUACAAAAUCAAUUAAAGGCAUUAUGUCUUCUUGUAUGUACAUGCUAACCAGGAAAGGCCAACAUUAAAAUUAUUUUCAAUUAAAAAGAAGGCGUUUGAAAGAAAAAAAUGAUGAAAGAAAAGAAAAGAAAAGAUUUUUAAUCACAAUUAAAAAGAAAAUACAAGCAUAUACUAAACAGCAAACUGUACAGGUGGUAAUAGUUUACUUUUGAGUCAAAUUCCUGGACUUCCUCAAUCAACUUGAAACAUAAAUCCCAGCAGAUUGGAAGAAGAUCAGUAAAACCUUGCUCUGAAAAGUUCGCAUCUUCAAUAUGAAAACAUAGAGACCGACAGGCUGCCAGCUAAAACAAUAGAUGUACAACUUCAGUGAUUGAACCAUAUAACAAAUUUAGGUGGCAUAACAUAUACAAAAGAAAAGUGAAUUUAUGCAUCAUACUCUAACAGAUAGGUCUUUUUCCUGAAGCAAUCUGAUCAAGGCGCAAUACACUGAUCUCUUUGUGUCAUCUUUAAUCUGCAAAGAAAACAAGCAUCAGAAAACAAAACAUCUGAUAUAAAAUUCCAUACCAUGAGUGUCUCCAACUUUCUUGAAACUGCCUUUGACAUUGACACAGAUACAAUCACCCUAAUCAAUAUUUUGGAAGCUUGAAAUUUAAACCUAUCAUAUUUUGUAAUUUAUUAUUGAGAGAAGAAUUUUUAAAAAUAAAUAAAUGGGAAGACAUAGAGGGUGUUUGAUCAAAUUUAAUAUUUAAUGCAUGAUUAGUUAAAAUGACUUUAACUUACAUUAUGACUUAAUGGCUUAAUAACUUAAGCAUAAUGUAAGUUAAAGUCAUUUUAAGUCAUCACGCAUUAAAUAUUAAGUUUUAUCAAACACCCUGAUAGAUUACCAAUGAAACAACAGCCUGUCAUUUUUCCUAUCUAGAAAGGAGAAUCAUAAGCAGUCAAAAUUUAUGGAGAAAAGAUGUACACCAACACUAAGAGACCCAUGGCAUGGAGGCCUUCCACCUUAAGGUUAAGUAGGAAGCUACCACAUGAGGGAAAAUGAGAACUCAUGCUACAAAUCUAAAUUUAUUGUUUUAAUGGAAAAAAUGAAACAUUCAAAAAGAAGGAAAGAUUUGCAUAUGUAAGCAAUCAUCAGCAACUUAUCACCCGCCAUCUCUCUCCUCCGUGCCUUUUUCUUUUUUUGAUAAGGGAACAGAAAAUAUAUUAAUAGCGAUAAUAAAUGAGUGGACCAAAGCACACACGAUGUACAAUAGGCACCAGUAAGCAAGUGAAAAGAAGAGAGAAAACAAAAACAACCACUCUCCCCUUACUUGGAGCUUAACCAAUCAAAGAAACAUAUCAUGGUCAAUGAAUAAUCAUCUAUGUACCUUUUGACCCAUUCUAAAAAAUUACACAUCAGAAUAUAGAACUGCUUGGUCCAUCUAUUCAACAUCUUCAAACUAUCCCCCAUUUCUUUCUUCUCCUACAGUCCAAAAUAAGCACAAGGGAGCAGCCCUCCAAGCUUUCUUUCCUUUCUUUCUCACAAAGGGCCCAGGUCAACUCAAGCAAUUUCAUCUUACAAAAGAGCAUGUCACCCAAACUAUUCCAAACAAUGACAUAAUCCCCCAUGUCUAUUCAACUCAUUUGAGAGGUUAAGGAGCAAUGGGAUUCAUCCCGUCCCUCUCUCUCCUAUGUGGAAGUUUUUGGUUAGUAGGACUCAUCCACUGUUCCUUUAAAGGCAUUUACUUGUUUAGUGUUAUUCCUUUACCAGAUGUCCCACUUUUAUCAAGUUUGAUUAGGAAAGACUGGGCAAAAUGUUUACGUUGACACCAACAAUAAUUGGAGGCACAAUUUCUUUCUCAAGUAAUAUAGAAGACUAAAAGCAACCAUGCUAAGUUUGGAUGGAACAAAUGAUUCUACAAGGAGUUCCAUAUAGCAUGAAAUAAAGGAUUAGUAUCUAUUUGUCAUGCAUCCCCACAUAUUUUCAAGAAGCCUUCAGAUAGUACACAUAUACUUUUUAUAGGAUAUGCACACACAUGUUUCACAUAAAUGAAAUCCACAAAAAACUAUAAGUUCAUGUAUUACAUUGCAAAGAAAAUAAUGUUACCUCAGAAACCCAUUGCCCCAGUAUCAGUGCCACUUUCCGAUGGAUGAUGCGCAUAUUUGGAUGAUCAUUUGACAGUUCCAAAGAUAAAGCACCAUUAAACCUGCAAACAAUAGUUUAAGUGGGUGGGGAAUCACAGGUCACCACAUUACAUAGGAAACAUAAUCACAUAAUUAGCCCCAUUUGGUAAUGUAAAUGCCUCCAAUCAACUUCUUGUGACAUCACAAUGUCUAACAACAUUUAAAAAAAAAAAAUGAACUAUUAGCUAAAUUAAAUGUGUAAUAACCAUACAAUUUAUGUCUUUCCUAAAAUAGUAAAUUUUCAACAAAUGGCACUGAGAUUUUUAACUAAGCAAUCUGUACAUACACAUGUAUGCAAAUGACAAAGAAAAAUAGGUUGAAAAAGAGAAUCAAGGAAAUCAAGUGGGAAAGAGCAAGUUAAAACCUAAUGUACCAACUAUAAACACUAGCAUUAAUCAACCAAAUCAACAUUAUCCAGAUGACCUAAAUUUUGUAUUAGCAGAAUGGAUUGUUUUACAAUAAUGUUCUUGCAUAUGCACAAAAGACACACACACACACACAGAGCUUAGCCCAGAACAAGCCAUAUCAAUAAUAGUAUUGCUACAUUAAAUGAAAAUAUCAUGAUAUUACAUUAACCAGAAUUCUCAGCUUCAACAAGGAUCUUUAAAUCAUAUUUUAUGGGUGAUUUGUGACAUACGAAGAUACAUAUCUAACAAGUCCUAAGACGAUGGUGUUCACAUGCAUCUUUAAGGAAUUACGACAGAAUUAUACAGAAUGAAAUCCUAAAAUGGAGCUUCAACUACAAAAAGUAUCUCCUCAAUGAACCCCAUAAAGGACUACCACCAACUCCGCACAUGCAAUAUUAUAUUUCGCUGAUAUGAAUGAAGGGAUCUAACAUGUAGAUUGGUUACCAAGUGGAGUUUUUGAGAAGUUUAAGGACUACAGUUGCUGGAAAUUUGAGUAAUUUUUAUAAAAGUUGGAAUGAUAUAUGUACUUCUGCAGCCAUUUUGUAUCUGUUGAAAGUCAACAUUUCCUUCGGAUAUUGUUGUUUCAUGAUCAUUUUUCCCACUGAACUUCUUGCUCUUAAGAGUUUUGUUCUUGUCUGCCCCUUCCCUUGGAGUCCAUUAAACUCUCUGCUAACUUGAUAGCCAAAGCAACUUCAUUCCUCUCCCUCAUAAGUUCAUUCCAAGCCCUAGCUACUAAAAGCAUUUCAAGGACAAGAGUUGAUUCCUCAAGAUCAAACCAUAUUGAAACUAGUCUCAAAGCAAAUUCAAACAGAGUUUGAAUUUUUUCAACAUCAGGUAUGAUGAGAAAUGAGAAGGUUUAAGAACUGUCUUGACAGCAUAGUGCUACAUUAUACAAUCUAUUGAUCUCAUUCUUCCUCCUACAUUUUGCCAUCUAUUUUGGAGUGCAUGUUCAAGACAUCGUUCGUUGAGUGCAGAUGCAGGACUGUUAAAUUUUUCAGGAUUAUAGAAGUUUCUUGAGUUAUAGAAUAAGAUGAAAAGGUCAAGAAAGACUCAAAAAAUAAAAUAAAACAAAAUAAAAUUCUUAGCAAUCACACCAAGAGCAGGAUAGAUAACCAGCCUGUCUUGAAAGUCAUAUUCCACUUAUUCUUGGGUCUUGUUCUAACUUGGUAACGAAGACUCUUCAAAUCAAUUUUUGAAAAGACUGUAGAACCUGCCAGCAUGUCUUAGCGUAUCAUUAAGUCAAGGUACCAAAAACUUGUAUUUAAGUGUAAUCUUGCUUAUUGCAUGAUUAUAAACACAUAUAUGCCAACUAUAAUCCUUUUUACUGUGAGCAAAGCUGAUACAGCAUAUGGAUUAUGGACUAAGACUUUCACAAAUAAACCCCUACAAAAGCAACUCCUUAACAUGCAUAUUGAGUUCUGCAUGCUCCAAUGGGUUCAUAAGAUAUGCUGGGAGGCCAGAUAAUUGAGAAGUUGGCAGCAAAUCAGUGGCAUGUUGAACACUUGACAUUGGUGGCAAUUCAUCAUGUAAAUCAUGUGUGCACAACAUUUAAAAAAUCAUAUAGCAAUUUGGACAUGUCUAGAGGUAUUACAUACACAACCCCUUUUUUACUCUUUUUCAACUUGUAUAGUUGUGAGAAUGAAUGGAAGCUUAUUUCGAGUUUCAAAUAUAUUCUCUGACUUGCAAUGAAGGAUUGGUCAGUUCUCCCAGCUUUGAUAGAGGUGAUAGACAGGGAUUGGGUGUUCACUAUUUCUGUUGCAGUGGUCAGAGACGAAGAGGUCAAGAAAAGGCAGAGCAAUGGGUGAGUCGACUCGGGUGGUUUUUGAAUCUCACUUGGGGACAGGUGGUGGAAGGCGGGAGGAGAGAGUUAGAUCAACAGCUAGAGGUAGUUUUCGUGUUGGGGAAGUUGGUAGAAAGAAGAAGGGAGGAGAAAGGAGGUCGGCUGAAGUUCUUCCAGUGGGGACACGUGGUAAGAGUGGUCAGGCUAUGGGGAACAGCUGGUUCAAUUUGAAUUCAAAAAAACUGAACUUUGGGCCUAUUGGGACAAAGAUGGCGGGCGUAGCUACGAUCGGCGGGGAUGAGGCCUUUUAAAACUAGAAUGGUCGAGCCUUUGAGAGAGAGGCCCAAUCUCUCCCCAAAUUCAGCCCACUAAAUGUUGCAAAAAUGGGUUGUAACUUAAAAGGCCCAUUGAGGCUGGGGCAAGGAGAAGGAGAAAAGAAGCCCUCUGAAAAGCAGGUUCCGUCACAAAGAGAAGAAGUCGCUGCAGGGGGAAAAGGGAAAGGAGUUUCAGACGAUCAUGAUGUUCAGACGAGAGAAUCCGCGAAGAAGGAAGUGAAGUUUGGUUCAAAGAAGCUAUGGACUACCCUAUUUCCUCCAAGUUCCAAUCGCCGACAAGGUUCUCGAAGUCGCAGCGAGCCUCUUUUACUCAGGAAGCCUUCGUCAGAUAGUGAAGAGCUUCCAAAGGAGGAGGCUUUCGGGGUGGGAGCUCAGUGGGAACGAGGAUUCAGUGCGAGUCCUAUCUUCUUUUGCUGAUCGCCAAGGAUUUGAAAGCGGUGUUCGGGGGAAGGGGCUUCGUCAUCUAGAGACAAAGAGGUUGUGCGCAAACCUUUUUUUGAAGAAAACAAAAAAAGAUUCUUGGGCCGAGUGGGGUCCGAUCUUCGUGGUUUUUCAGUCACGUUUUUGCCUUCUAAUCCAGAAAUCAGAGGUAACGGGCUCAACUUUUUGGGGAAUUGUGGAAUGUUGGUAGCGGAAAACUUGGAGGUAAACUCGCCCUCACUUUCUCAGUCACCCUUGUCUUUUUUUCCCACUUCUUCUGGGUUGGCACUUCCAUUUUUUAGCCCUUCUGCUCCCGAUCUCCCUAAAUCAAUCAUUCAGUCUCAAUUUCCUAUGGAAAAUCGAGUAUUUUCUGAAUUUUUUUCCAAAAAAGACGAUGUUGGUACUUUAUGUCAAAACUGUUUUGGCAAUCCUAACCUUGUUGUGGUGGGGUCCCAGUCUGCUUGUUCAACCCAGUUGCCCGAGAGUUUCAACCCCAUUAAGACUAAAUCCAAUUUGCCCAGUGAGGUUUUCAACCUGGUUACAGUUAGCCAGGGUGAUGUUGUGGUCUCCCCAUCAGGCGAAUUCCAAAUUGAAGGUCUGUCUCACAAGAAAAUGGCUGAAGUGCAUGAAGUUUUAAGCUCUCUGGAUAUUAAGGUUUAUUCUAGAAGGAAGAGCAGACGCUCUACAGGUUUGUGAGACCUAUUGGAACUGGUUGGGCGUUUAGGGUCGGCAUUGUUUUUCCAUGAAAAUAAUUAGUUAGAAUACCAGAGGUUUGGGAUCAAGGAAAAAGCGAAGGGUGGUUAAAGAUUUUAUGAGGUUAGAGAAUCCGGAUGUAGUGAUGAUCCAAGAAGCAAAAAAGGUGGAGUGUGAUAGAAGGUUUGUGGGUAGUGUUUGGACGUUCAGAAAUAAGGAAUGGGCUGCUCUUCCGAUGUGCGGGGCUUCAGGUGGGAUUUUGGUUAUUUGGGACUUUAAUAAAUUGCGCAGUGAGGAGGUGGUAAUAGGAUCCUUUUCGGUCUCAGUCAAGUUUGCUUUGGAUGGUUGUGGACCUCUAUGGUUGUCCGCAGUUUAUGGCCCAAAUAGUCCCUUGCUUAAGGAGGAUUUUUAGGUGGAGUUGUUAGACAUUUUUUGUCUAUCUUUUCCGUUAUGGUGUGUGGGUGGCGAUUUUAAUGUCAUAAGGAGAAGUUCAGAAAAAUUGGGAGAAUCUAGUCUAACUUCAAGCAUGAAGGACUUUGAUGGUUUUAUAAGAGAAUGUGAAUUGUUUGAUCCACAUUUACGGAAUGCACCAUUCACUUGGUCAAACAUGCAAGAGUCUUCCGUGUGUAAAAGAUUGGACUGAUUUCUUUACUCAAAUGAGUGGGAGCAUUACUUUCCUCAAAGCCUUCAAAAAGUUCUUCCUAGAAGAACAUCGGAUCAUCGGCCCAUAGUUUUGGAAACCAACCCGUUCAAGUGGGACCCAACACCUUUUAGGUUUGAGAAUAUGUGGUUGCAACAUCCUAGUUUCAAGGAGUGCUUUAAAAGUUAGUGGAGAGGUUUUCAAGGAACUAGGUGGGAAGGUCACAAGUUCAUGAGGAAAUUACAAGUUGUUAAGGCCAAUUUGAAAGAGUGGGAUAAGGUUUCUUUUGGAGUCCUAAACGAAAGAAAAAAAAGCAUCCUGAAUGAAAUAGCUAACUUUGAUGCCAUUGAGCAAGGAGGGGGUCUCACUUCUGAACUUUUAGUUCAAAGAGCUUUAAGAAAAGGGGAGCAAGAGGAAUUAAUUUUGAGAGAAGAAAUUCAUUGGAGACAAAAAGCUAGGGUGAAAUGGGUUAAGGAAGGGGAUUGUAAUUCAAAGUUUUUUCAUAAAGUGGCUAAUGACAGGCGAAAUAGGAAAUUUAUGAAGGUGUUGAAGAAUGAAAGAGGAAUAGUAUUGAAUAACUCAGAGAGCAUCACAGAGGAGAUUUUACUUUACUUUGAAAAGCUCUACUCGGGUCCUAUUGGAGAGUUGAAGGCUUAGAUUGGUCCCCUAUAUCUGAAGAGAGUGCACCUAGGUUGGACUCCCCUUUUACUGAAGAAGAGAUUUUUAAGGUCAUUUUUCAAUUGGAUAGGGACAAGGCAUCGGGUCCUGAUGGCUUUACCAUUGCAGUGUUUCAAGAUUGUUGGGAUGUGAUCAAGGAGAAUUUAGUGAGAGCAUUUGCAAAGUUUCACAGUAGCGAGA
rnacentral:lncRNA from 1 species